rnacentral:lncRNA from 1 species
ACACAAGCAGUUUACCCAGGUUCAGGCCGCACGGAUGCGUAAAACCCUACUCCUGCUUUGUGGUUUGUAUUGAGUUCUUGCUCGAGAGCGCGGAGUGCUACAAUACACCCCAGCAGCUAACCAGACCGAGCGUGAGUGUUCUCUUUUUUCUUCCUCUCCCCCAUGUUGCGCAUGGGCCUCCUUUUAUAUGCUCAAGGGGUCACCGACAGGUGGCAACGUAGACAAGGGUAAAAAUGGAAAGGUGUUGCGGUUGGUAUAGCUACCUGCUACAGUGUAUCAUACCUAACCCUGACGGCAGGGGACAAGGGCAUUAAAUGCCCGUCUGCGUCGCCUAAAUAGUGCAAAAGGGACCGUCAGGGACGCCACCUCUCACCACGAGGGCAAUCUUGUCAGCGCCGCCUGCCACCGCGCACCGCUGGCUGCACAGCCUCCCGCCACGUACGCCUGGAAGGGUCCCAGAGCGACACGUUGGUGGAUGUGCUGGAGCGCGAGCACAGAGUGGUGGCUUGCCGCGGCAAGCGCCUUGUUGAGGUCGUUGUCUUGUCGCGUCCGGGAGCUUGUCGCUCACCGGGCCUUGCCGGGACGCGUGCGCGUCGUGGCAAGUUCCUUGAGAUGCCUUGGUUAGCCUUCCCGGCAAGCUCCUCUUGCCGGGGUCUUGUCUCCUUGGCUUGGAUACUUUGUCCUUGAAUGGCUCCAAAGGAACCUCGGAGGACCUUGGCGGUCACCCGGCAAGCCUUGCCGCAGGAUGCUGCGACUGCCCGUGCACAAGUUCGGGAUACUAGGGUACCCCUACUCUAGUACACCGACAGCAGCCCCCGGGCCUGGGCCAUACACGGUGUCGAGCGUUGUUGGGCCAGGCCCAAAACAGGGCACGGGCACGCGCGGCCUGGGUUACGCCGUAUCUCUCCCCGUAUCCAUCGCACCCUCCCCGAACGGCACGCGUUGAAUGCGGUGUCGUGGGAGAGAUCGUGGGUGGUUUCUUUAUUCGGAAAGGUGGAACGUCCGCCCCCUCCCUCUUUAUAAGCAGGGGAAACAGGGGUAGUUCGCCCAUUCGCUGGUUGCUACUUCAAUCUCGGAAAUCCCCGCCGCUCCCUCGUCUUCCCAAAGCUGAAAGAGAGCAGCGCCCCGCCCCCCAUCGCCACCAGCACCACCAACGCCGUCGACCUCCUCCACCACUUCCGCCAUGUCUCCGAGAGCCGACAAGGGGAAGGUUGUGAAGUCGACCGAGGCGCAGCGGCUUGUGGCGCUGCGAAAGGAGCGGGCAGUCUUCCCCCCCAAGCUCGCCGCGAGGGAGCUGAGGGAGAACUACUACCUCUUCUGGUCGACGGAGACGCGAGCGCACCUGCGCACGAAGGUACUUCCAGCCGCCGCUUGGAAGACGGCUCCAAAUGGAUAUCCUUUCUUCGCCUUGUUCUUCUACUGCAGGCUCUGCCCGCCCUUCUCUGAGUUCUUCUGCGAUAUUAUGAACACCUACGGGUUCCACCUCCUUGAUUUCACCCCCAAUGAUGUUCUGACCAUGGCAGUUUUUGCACAUCUCUGUGAAAACUUUGUCGGAGUCCAUCCCAAUGUAGCCCUUUUUCGCCACUUCUUUAUGCCCCGAGUAGAGAGAGGAGAGCCUUUAUCCGGCGGAAUCGCCUGGAUCUCGAGGGCCGGCAAGAAGGACACUUAUCUGGACGGAGAGUUCCGCUGCAAGUGGGAGGAAUGGAGAGCAGACUGGUGCUGGAUUGACGAGGAGAACCCGCAGCCGUUUACCGCCCGGCGCCAAGCCCUAGUAGCACGCGGCAGCGAUUGGAGUGACGUGGCCCCGGAAGACGAUAGGCUGAAGAUUGCCGUCACCCGGAUCUUACGCCUCAGGCUUGCCGGGCUCACUGUAGGCGCUGUUGGCGCAGAUUUUCUUUGUCGCCGCAUCGCCCCCCUGCAGGAACGGGGGAGACCCGCCUGGGAAUUCAAGAAUGCAGCGGAUAUCAUGAGGCUACGGCCGGGCCUCAACUUCAACUUCACUGUUCUGGAGCUUAACGCGAUGCUCCAGGAGCUGUUCAAGUAUGACCCUCAACAUCCUGAAGUGUUCAGGUUGCCGGGGGGUGUCGUUCCGCUGUGCAACAACUCCGCGCUCGACCGCAUCCGUGCAAUGAUGCCGUUGUGCGAUUCGCAUGGAAUUGUCCCAACUUGGCAAGAGCCUGCAGACGACGUCGUGCGGGAGUUCUUUGACGGCUUGGUAGAAGUGCCGAUCCGCUUCGACGAAAAGGAUAGCCUCACCCGCGACACCACCGAUGCGGAGAUGACACGCAUCGCCACUAGGCUGGAAGAGGCAGCGGCAGCCGCAGCCGCGAGCGAAUUUGGAUUCACCGUGGAGGAGGCAGAGGCAGCAGAGGUGGCAAGCCGUGCCGAGCGAGAGGAGCCCGUCGGCGAGAAAGAGCUUGCCGGGCAUGACGUCGAGCCGAGCGAGCCCGCCGAGGAUACGAGCGGCUCGCUGGAGAUCAACUCCUCUUCCUCCUCAUCUUCAGGCAGCUUGCCGCAAGCGGAGCUCCAUCUUCACCAAGAAGGCGUCUCCGCAAGGCCGGGGACGUAGUGGGGCAGCGGGCAAGUGAACAGCCGCCGCGCCGCGCGACACACUCCACCACGGCAAGCACUGUUGCCGCGGGAGCACCUCACGCUGCUGCGGCAACUGGAGCGGGGUCCACCCGGACCACCGCUUCUGCUCCUGCCGCUUCUCACGCUGCGGCGGCAGCCGGAGCGGGGUCGUCUCAUACCACCGCCACUGUUCCCGCCAAGCGGCCAAGGGAAACCACCCCUCCGCCUCCUCGCGCCGGACGUGAGCCAGACUUUGAUUUCUCCGCGUUCAGCUCUGACGAGGAAGAAGAAGAGUAAGAUUCUCUUGUUGUACUUGUAGUUCUUCAAUUCUUGUUGUUUUGUCUUGUAUCUCAUUUGCUUUGCUCUGAACUUAUUCCUUUUUAGGACUCUGGCCCAGAGAGCAGCGAAGAGGGCCAAGGUCCCGGUGAUUAUCAUCGAGGACGAACCCACCGCGACAGCAGGGGGAGCGUCCGAGACAACCUUGCCGGACCCGGCAACUGUUCUCCAGAGCAGCCCCCAGCGUAAGUAUAUGGUUCGCUUUCCGCUGUCGGGCGCGCAUGGAUACUCUUUCUUUGCUGACAUCUGACUAUUGGUUUGUGUAGGAGCAGAGCAGCCUCACCAGGAGCGCCCGGAGGCCGCCCCCGAAAUGCCAAGGGAGAGUCCUCCGGCAAGGGAGAGUUCUCUGGGAAGGGAGAAGUCUCCGGCAAGGGAGAGUUCUCUGGGAAGGGAGAAGUCUCCGGCAAGGGAGAGUUCUCCGGCAAGGGACAACACCAGUGGCCCUCCGGCGGCGGAGACCACGACUGCAGAACCCGGUACAGGUACUCCUCUCGCUUCAAAACUUCCCUUGGGUUCUUCUUCUUUUGAUCUUUUUCUCUUUUCUUGGAUAUUUGCUUGACUCUUCUCCCUUUUACGGCCGUCAGACCCAUCUGCUGCGGAGCCGAUGGAGACCGAGGUUGCCGCCGACGAUGCCGCUGCCACUAAAAAAGCAGCCGGUGCUGACGAUCCCGCCGGCGCAGAGGCCGCCAAAGCUGCAGCCGCAGAAGCAGGUGGGGGGUCUGGCGAUCGCACUGACGGCCCCGAGGCCGCAGGAGCGCCAGGCGCUACGCCGACUGCCAAUCCCUCCGCCGCUGCCGCAGCGUCAGGCUCUGAAGAGCCACAGCCAGGCGUCUACUUGAAGGCCGGCGAUGGCGUCUUCAUCAACCUCCCCUGGGCGUCAAGCUCCAGGGCGCCGGUCAAGAGAGAGAGCUUCGACGGAGAGCUGCUCGCCUCCGCUGGGCUGACGCUGGUUGACGCGCCGAGCAGCAGCAGCGGCGAGCCUGAAGAGGAGCGGCUGCUGCGGAAGCUGUUGUCUCUCUACCGCGCGCGGCAAGCCAAGCUGGAAUCCCGCGAGGCGCUUGUCACGAAGGCGGGAGCGGACAUCGAGAAGCGCGCGGAGGAGCUUCGGGGUCUCAACCAGGAAGCUCUCCGGUCCCUGGCAGAGGAGUGGGAGCAACUCGCCAGAGAGCAGAAGGCCUUCUUCCUCGAGAAGGCCGAAGUUGAAGAGCAAGAGCGGCUUGCCGCUGAGAAGCUUUCUAUGCAGGAGGGCGAGCUGGUGCAGCGGAAGGUCAACCUUGACGCACACGAGGAGGAGCUUGCCGCGCGCGAGCGAGCAUUCGGCGGAGCCCUCAAGCAAGCGGAGGAUGCUGCCGCAGCUGCCAAGGCCGCCAAGAAGGAGCUGGAGACGUAGGUGGUGCAGCUGGAGGCCGAUCUCAAGGCGAGUGGUGAAGAGCUUGCCGAGAAGGGCAAAGAGCUUAGCGCCGCCAAGGACUCCAACACAGAUCUUGAGUUGAAGCUGACCACUUUGACCAAGACGCUGGACGGCACCAGGGAGCAGGAGGUGGCCUUGAAGGAGGAAAUCAAGGCCGACAAGGCGCUGCUGGCGAGUGUUGUCGCCGCCCAGAAUGCUUUUAGGGAGAAUGUGGAGCACUGGACGGAGGGUCUCGUGAAUGUUGCCGCAGACAUUGACAGGGAGCUGGCGCAGCUGGGGAUGGAGGAUCUCGGGUAUCCCUCCGACGAGAACCUCCAACCUAGCGCCAAGCUCAUCUUGUUCUUCAAAGGCGUGGCGACGGCCCUCCAGCGGGUCCGGGAGAAGAUCCCAAAGCAGCUGGCCAACGAGUCUCGUAAGAUCUGCGCGGGAGCUCUUCAAAAGGUGUUGGUGAAGGUGGCCUUCCGCAACCCGGGCCUCAACCUCACCAACGUCCUCAAGACCCUGCCGCCGGAUGCUGAUCUGGAGGCGCUCAAGACCCUUGUCGCACCCAUUGUGGACAAGGUGAGCGGGAUCAAGAGGAUUGAGGGCGAUCGCGUAGACUAGGCCGCCCGUUUUCUUCUUUUCUUGUCGCUGCUGGUCAUGUUAUGAGAACAAUCGGUUAGAGCCGCGACAAGCUACCUUGUAAUAUAACUCUAUUCCGGGUAAUGAUUGAAAUGUUAUUCCCUUUACUUGAUUCCUCCCUUUGUAUGUUUUUGCCCUACGCUUUUAGGGAACUUGCCGGUGCAGGCACCUUAGCUGCGAGCGCUGAGUGCGGAACGUCAGCAGCCUGCUGGCGGUGCCGCUACCGACAAGAAACCUUGUCGCAACUAGUCGCAGCUCACUUAAGUUGUUGAGCGGACUCGAAACAAAAUAAGGGCGCAACUAGCUACGAGUUGGUUCCUCCGCGCAUAGGUUUUCCAUACAAAGUGCGGUUGUUCAAGGGAGAUAACUUAAAAAUUUAAAAAGUCUGAUUGCUCAAACUUUGGCAACUUAGCUUUUCUGUUGUUUGCUUCCCGGUAAGGCGAAACUUUCUUGAACGAUGCCUGGUCCAUACCAUUAUCUUCUCAUGCCAUUAUCUUCUCCUUCCCCCCCCCCCCGGCAAACUUGUGGGCGAGGGGACCUUCCUUUCCUUGAGAAAAAAGAAAGAAGAGAAAAUAAAGAUAUGGAGCCUUUCGGCUCGUUAUUGCUUACCGGGGAGUAGGUGAUGCACAAAGUGUCAGACCACAUAUGCAAAAAAUAGAUAGCAUGAAAUUGACAAGAUGUGCGGAGCAUAUGAGCUUUACUUAUGCACGGGGUCUGCGCCCGGCUUUGUACAAAGGAUUACAUGCAACAGCGGCAAGACUUGUACAAAAGGUGGUUGCCGGAACAGGUUCCGGCAACCGCGCCUUACGGGUAAAACUUACGAAGAUGCUCAAUGUUCCAGGAAUUGCUCACCGGAAUGCUAUCUUCGGUCUCAAGGCGGACAGUGCCAGGCCUAGUGACUCGUUUCACCCGGUAAGGGCCUUCCCACUUCAGCGUCAACUUGUUGGAAUUCUUGGCGGACUGAACACGCCAAAGAACAAGGUCGCCUUCCUCGAGACUUCUGGCGUUAACUUUGCGGCUAUGGUAGCGGCGCAAAGCUUGCUGGUAGCGAGCAGCUCGUACAGCAGCCUGAAGACGGUCUUCCUCAAGGAGUAGCGCGUCAUCUUGUCGCAGCUGCUCUUGCUCAAGCUCAUCAUAAGCGAGCACUCGAGGUGACCCGUAUACGAGUUCCGUGGGGAGAACUGCCUCUACUCCAUAGACUAGAGCGAAAGGUGUCUGGCCAGUGGCUCGAUUUGGCGUCGUCCUGAUCGACCAAAGAACCACCGGCAGCUCCUCGAUCCAGUUUCUUCCGCACUUGUGCAGCCUGUCGAAAGUUCUGGUCUUGAGCCCACGCAGCACUUCAGCAUUUUCCCUCUCCGCUUGACCGUUGCUUCUCGGAUGAGCAACAGAAGCGAAGCAGACCUUGGCGCCAAGAUCUUGGACGUACUGCAUGAAGGUGCGGCUCGUGAAUUGCGUACCAUUGUCGGUGAUUAUCCUGUUAGGGAUCCCGAAGCGGCAAACAAUCGACCUGAAGAACUUGACUGCUGACUGUGCUAUCACCUUCCUCACUGCUUCCACUUCCGGCCACUUUGUGAACUUGUCAAUUGCAACGUACAAGUACUCAAAGCCCCCGACUGCUCGGGGAAAGGGGCCGAGGAUGUCGAGCCCCCAGACCGAAAAUGGCCAGGAUAAAGGGAUCGUCUGGAGAGCUUGAGCUGGUUGGUGUAUCUGCUUGGAAUGGAACUGGCACGCUUCACACUUGGUUACUUGUACAGUUGCAUCCUGGAGGGCUGUCGGCCAAAAGAAACCUUGCCGGAAUGCUUUUCCAGCAAGUGCUCUUGCGCCAAUGUGGUGACCACAUAUGCCUCCAUGUAUCUCUGCCAACAGCUUUUGUCCGUCUUCCCGGUGAAUACACUUCAAUUUCACACCAUUGAGUCUUCUUCUGUACAGUGUGUUGUCGACAAACUGGUACAUACUUGACUGCCGGGCUACUCUUUCCGCUUCUUCUUGCUCUUCGAGAAGUUCUCCUGUUUGAAGGAAACGGACAAUCUGCUGUGCCCAUGCUGGAGCUUGUGGCUCGACAACAAGGGCUAAAGGCAAAUCUGCUGCUGCGGGAACAUCUGCUUCUACGGCGAGAACCUGCAGCUCUGCCGGAGCUUGGCGUUCCUCGGCAAGCUUGCCGGAGCAAAACUUGUCGGGAGCUUCUGCUUCAACGGAACAAACCCUAGGGCUUGCCGGAGCAGAUUGCUCCUCAGCGCAAGGCAAAUCUGUUGCUGCGGGAACGUCCGCUUCUAUGGCGAGAACCUGCGGCUCUGCCGGAGCUUGACGUUCCCCGGCAAGUUUUCCAGAGCAAAACUUGUCGGGAGCUUCUGCUUCAACGGAACAAACCCUAGGGCUUGCCGGAGCAGACUGCUCCUCAGCGCUCUUGGCGUUGAUCUUGGGGACCUUCUUGGCGGCGGCUUCGGGAAGCUCUGCCGGAAAAUAGUCACCAGAAAUCAACUUCCUCUUCUUGCUCUGUCCAGUUGAUGGCGUUACAGGCGGUUGAGUCAUCUUGAGCACAAAGAUCCCUGGUUCCACAGGUAACUUAAGUGCGGCGCACUUUGAAAGGCCAUCGGCAAUGGCGUUCUGAGCUCUUGGAACAUGCUCCAUCUGUAGGCCGUCAAAGUGCUCUUCUAACUUCCUCACUUCAUCGACGUAGGCUUCCAUCAGCGGACUCUGAUAGCUCUUGUUCACUUGGCGGAUGACAAGCUGCGAGUCACCCCUAACAAUGAGCUUUUUGAUCCCAAGGUCUGCCGCGAUCCUGAGACCGGCAAGCAAGCCUUCAUACUCUGCAGUAUUGUUUGUUGCUUGCUCCUUGGGAAAGUGCAUCUGGACUACGUACUUGAGGUGCUCUCCGGUGGGUGCGACAAGCAGCACGCCAGCACCGGCGCCUUGCAGCGAAAAGGCACCAUCAAAGUACAUCAGCCACUCUUUGCUUGCUUCCUCGACGGGGAUGCUCGUUUCUGGAAUUUCUUCAUCUGGUGUUGGUGUCCAUUCUGCUAUGAAUUCUGCCAAUGCUCUGCUUUGGAUAGUUGAAGUACUCUCAAACUUGAGGCCAAAGCUUGACAGUUCCAGUGCCCACUCAACAAUCCUUCCUGUCGCUUCUGGAUUCUGUAGUAUCCUCUUCAGCGGAAAACGAGUGACAACUGUGAUCUCAUGUGCUUGGAAGUAAUGGCGCAGCUUUCUCGAGGCCAUGAAAAGGCCGAAAAGCAACUUCUGCACGCCAGAGUACCUUGACCUAGCCCCCUGUAGAAGGGAACUGACAAAGUAAACUGGGCGUUGUACCAUUCUCUUCUGUAUCUCCUCGCGCGUCUGCGCAGAUCCAUCCUUGUCGGGACCAGGGCUUGUCGGGGAAGCCCCCUGUUUGUCGCUGGAUGCGCCUACCACGGUUGCUGGCUCGUCAUCUGCCUCCCUCUCUGCUACUAACGCAGCACUAACCACUUGAUUGGUUGCCGCUAUAUACAGCAGCAACUUCUCUUGUGGCUUAGGUGCGACAAGUGUUGGAGCGGAGGACAGGUAUCUCUUCAAGUCUUGCAGCGCAGCCUCCGCUUCCGGAGUCCAUUUCAUUGGACCUGCCUUUUUCAAUAUUUUGAAAAAUGGCAGGGCACGCUCAGCAGACCUAGAGAUAAACCUGCUGAGAGCAGCCACGCAACCGGCAAGUCUUUGUACAUCUUUGACGCGCUUUGGUGCUUCAAUCUGCUCAAUGGCCUUGAUCUUGUCGGGAUUGGCUUCGAUUCCCCGCUGAGACACGAAGAACCCGAGAAGCUUGCCGGAGGGGACUCCAAACACGCACUUCUCGGGGUUGAGCUUGAGGCUGAUCUUGCGCAGAUUUGCAAAGGUCUCGUCUAAAUCUUGAAUCAGAGUUGCCUUGUCCUUGCUCUUGACCACUAUGUCAUCCAUGUAGGCUUCCACAUUUCUGUGUAUUUGUGGCUCAAGAGCGACAUGGACUACUCUUGCAAAUGUUGAACCAGCAUUUUUUAAACCGAAAGGCAUCCGUAUGAAAUAGUACGUGCCACAUGGAGUGAUGAAUGCGGUCUUCUCCUCAUCCUCUUCUGCCAUGAAGAUCUGACGGUAUCCUGAGUAUGCGUCAAGAAAUGAAAGCAAGUUACAUCCAGCCGUGGAGUCAACAAUCUGGUCAAUGCGCGGCAAAGGAAAUGGGUCUUUGGGACAAGCUUUGUUAACAUCGGUAAAGUCGAUACAAAGUCUCCAUUUCCCGUUCGCCUUGCGCACGACUACAGGAUUGGCCAACCACGUAGGAUGGAGCACUCCUCUGACAAGGCAUGCUGCUUCCAAUUUCUUGAUCUCUUCUGCGAUGAAUUCUUGGUGCUCCACUGCUUGCUUCCUGACCUUCUGCUUGACGGGCCGCGCAUGAGGAUAAACGGCAAGAUGGUGCUCAAUUACUUUCCUGGGAACACCGGGGAUGUCAGACGGUUGCCACGCAAACACGUCGACGUUCGCCCGCGGGAAAGCAAUGAGCGCGCUUUCCUAUUUAGGGUCGAGAGUGGCACCGAUGGUGAAGGUACCACCAGUGCCGUCCUCCUUGGCUGACACCUUCUUGGUCUCUGGCGGAGCUGCCAUUGUCUUCUUACACUUGCCGGUGGAGCUCGAUGGUGCGUCCUCGACGGCAGCGCAGCACUCCGAAGAGGUGCGCUUGCCGGAGUGGGCAUCAGAACUCUUGCCGUACUUGGUCUUCUUCUUCCCCCCGGGAGCUUCAACGGCAGGUGACUUGCGAUCUGUUGCGGCUGCCGCUUCCCGGUAGAUCUUGUUGGCGCAGAUAAGAGCAUCCUUCUUGUCGCUAGGGACAGAGAUGAUGCUUAUCGGGUCUGGCAUCUUCAGCAUGUUGUAUGCGUAGUGAGAGGCUGCCAUGAACUUGGCGAGUGCUGGACGGCCGAGUAUCCCAUUGUAAGGCAAUGGAAAAUCGGCAACGUCAAAAGUGACCCUCUCAGUCCUGAAGUUCACUUUGCUGCCAAAUGUUACUGGCAACAUGACCUUCCCCUUCGGCUUGCUCCUUCCCGGGUUGAUUCCUUGGAAUGUGCCGGUCUCUUCAAGCUCGCUGUCAGGGAUCUGGAGUUUCUGGAGUAUAGCGGAGGAGAUCAGGUUCAAGCCGGCCCCGCCGUCAACUAGCAUCUUAGUGACUUUGAGGUUGCGGAUAGUUGGUGAAACCAACAUCGGCAAGCACCCGACCGCAGUUGUGCGAUCAGGGUGGUCCUCAAUAUCAAAGAUGAUAGGCGUGCUGGACCAUUUCAGAAGCUUGCGUGACUCGACAGGCGGUUCUGCCGCAUUGACUUCCCGCACCCACUGCUUGAGUUGGCGAUGCGAAGUAUGCAGAGAAGCACCGCCGUCAACGCACAAGACCUCUGUGGCUUUCUGGAACUCCUGCUCACUGGUCUCAACAUCAUCCAUGUCUUCGUCGUCGUCAUCGUCUUCAUCCUUGUCGCGGCCGCGGGGAGGUCUGUCUCCUUGCCGCUGCUUGGCCUUGCUGUGGCGCCCUCCCCGGCCGGCGCGCUUCUUGCCGAAUUCUCCAGCGCCUCCUUGGGCCCUCUCCUUGUCGCGUCACUCGUAUUCAGCCUUUUGCUGCUGGACAAGCUGUUCGACCUUCUUGCAGCUUUGGAGGUCAUGGCCCUUGGUGCGGUGGAUCUUGCAGUACUGCUUGUCGGUGCCGUCCUGCUUGUCGGCGACCGCCACAGUCUGGCAGUUGGUGCUUGCGGCAAUCUCCUUGCCGGAGCUACCAGUUUUGGCUUUCUUGGCGCCACCUUCGUUGCCGGACUGCUCAAUGACUAGCACAUCUUUGCCUUUCUUCUUCCUGUUGUUCCGCCGUCGAUUUUUCUUUGCCGGGGCAGCAUCCUCGCUGUCAGAUCCUCCUGCUCCUAUAUUCUCUCCGGGGAGUUUCCUCCCUUCCUUAGCAUGUGCACACUUGUCAGCCAGGGCAUACAGCUCACUGACGUCUCUGAUCUUGCACAUCGCCAUCUUCUCCCGCAUCCUGCGGUUACGCACAUUCUGAUGGAACGCGCUGAUGACCGCGGCAGGGUGGACAUCUGGGAUGUUGUGCUGUACACGGCUGAACCUCUGAAUGUACUUGCGCAGGGGCUCUCCAUCCUUCUGGGCGAGCAGAUGAAGGUCACUCUUUUGGCCAUGAGGUUUGUGGCCGCCUGUAAAGGCGCCGACAAACUGAUGGCAUAGGUCUGCCCAGGAGGAUAUGGAGUUGUCCGGCAAGUGCAUGAGCCAGGACCUGACGUUGGGCUUGAGCACCAGCGGGAAGUAGUUGGCAAGGAUCUUGUCGUCCCGCCCCCCGGCAGCCUGCACCGCGAUGGUGUAGAUGCUGAGGAACUCCGACGAAUGCGACUUGCCGUCGUACUUCUCUGGUAUGUCUGGCUUGAAAUUCUUCGUGCUGGGCCACUGGACUUGCCGCAGCUCACGAGUAAACGCAGGGCAACCUACCGCGUACGGCAAGUCGCCUGGUUCCCCUGGCGCAUGCAUGUCGACGGAGGGCCCAGCGCGCUGGUCCGAUUGACGUCGCGCUUCUCUUCGGCGCUUGAUGCGAGUACGAGCGUCUUCUUGCUGUUGUUCGUGAAGAACUUGGCACUGAUCGCGACGAGCUCGUGGAUCUGAUGACGCGGUGGAGUCGCUGUCGAGGUGGAUCCGGCGAGUUGUCGAUCUUGGCCUUCGGGGCAGAGAGUGCACAGUGGUUGCACCCCCACCGGUCUUGUCGCCACCGGCUCGUGCCUGGCUGACUUGCCGCGACUGCGACGUGCUCAGCUGCCGUUGAGUGUCGUCGUUGGCGAAGCCGAUGAGACUCUGAAUGGUGGCCCUCCAGUCGUCGAUCUUGUCUACCGUUGGAGGGUAGUCCAGGAGCAGUUGAGCUCGCGCCAAAGCUUCUGUUGGAGUGGCGGGUGGCGGUGGUGAACGGUGCGAGGAGUGGGAUAUGCUCGGACUUCUAACUAUGUUAGAAGGAGCAGUAUCCCGUCCAGGCGACCGUGCCUCGCUCGUGCCAGCAUGUUAGCGUGCAUGCUGGUCUUGAGCACUCCGAGGUCCACCAGCUCGAUCUUGAUCCAGCAAACGCAUGGUACUGUGAGCACCAUUACGCUGCCGGUCCCGCGCCUCCUGAGAUGGGCACGGUGCAUGUACGGACACCGAGGUCUUGGAGUGCGCCCGGUCGUUGUGGGAGCCGGCUACGCCACCGACGGGCAGCGCAGCCAUGUCCUUGGACUUGGCAGCACCGUGAGCUCCCUCGUCGACGCCCGUUCUUCCGCCGGCGUCUGCCCCAUCAGCCGUUUGCUCCGGCGGUGGUGGGUUCGGCGCGGACGGAGCAGCCGCCUCCGAAGCCUUCUUCUUCGGCGGCAUGUCGAUGAAGAUGAUGAAGAUCUAGCUCGUGUGAACGCCGGAUCUGGUUCACACAACCCCGACGCCCCCUACCUGGCGCGCCAAAGAUGCCGGGGUACUAAUCCUCGAGCACCUAUGGGACCGGCGGACCGAGUCCCUUUCGGUUCGGCGGGGGCGAGGGUCGCACGAAGAGCGGAUCGAGGCGAAGCACACGAGCAGUUUACCCAGGUUAGGGCCGCACGGAUGCGUAAAACCCUACUCCUGCUUUGUGGUUUGUAUUGAGUUCUUGCUCGAGAGCGCGGAGUGCUACAGUACACCCCAGCAGCUAACCAGACCGAGCGUGAGUGUUCUCUUUUUUCUUCCUCUCCCCCAUGUUGCGCAUGGGCCUCCUUUUAUAUGCUCAAGGGGUCACCGACAGGUGGCAACGUAGACAAGGGUAAAAAUGGAAAGGUGUUGCGGUUGGUACAGCUACCUGCUACAGUGUAUCAUACCUAACCGUGACGGCAGGGGACAAGGGCAUUAAAUGCCCGUCUGCGUCGCCUAAAUAGUGCAAAAGGGACCGUCAGGGACGCCACCGCUCGCCACGAGGGCAAUCUUGUCAGCGCCGCCUGCCACCGCGCACCGCUGGCUGCACAGCCUCCCGCCACGUACGCCUGGAAGGGUCCCAGAGCGACACGUUGGUGGAUGUGCUGGAGCGCAAGCACAGAGUGGUGGCUUGCCGCGGCAAGCGCCUUGCCGCGGUCGUUGUCUUGUCGCAUCCGGGAGCUUGUCGCUCACGGGGCCUUGCCGGGACGCAUGGCGCAUCGCGGCAAGUUCCUUGAGAUGCCUUGGUUGGCCUUCCCGGCAAGCUCCUCUUGCCGGGGUCUUGUCUCCUUGGCUUGGAUACUUUGUCCUUGAAUGGCUCCAAAGGAACCUCGGAGGACCUUGGCGGUCACCCGGCAAGCCUUGCCGCGGGAUGCUGCGACUGCCCGUGCACAAGUUCGGGAUACUAGGGUACCCUACUCUAGUACACCGACAGGGAGGACCGGCAUGAUUCAAAUGAGUGGAAGGAACCGGUCCACUGUAAAAAAGUGGUGGUUCCACAUGAGCAAAGAUGUCGGUGCCAUUUUUACCACUAGAAGGAGCCUUUUCACUACUAGCUUCCCCCUUGUCGGAGAUAGCAUCCGUCACCUUGUUCAUGGGAUCACCCACUUUCAAUGGUGUGGUGGAUAGUUUAAGCCCUUCAAGGAAUUUAGUAAACAUGCUUUCAACCUCGGCCGUCGUGCAGGUUUUCAAUGUCUCCAAGGCCACAUUGAACUCCUCACGUGAGACCGAGGUUCCCCCAUCGCCCGUAGACGAGAUCGGCUUCACACCGGAGUGUUCCUCCACACCAUCUACGGUAUCAACCAUACUCUUCGAACGGUUAAGUCCUUAUUAAAGAGACGACGCUCUGAUACCAAUUGAAAGGAUCGAUAUGGCUGACUAGAGGGGGUGAAUAGGCAACUAACAAUUUUUAGCUUUUCUUUAACAAUUUGAACUUUGCAUCAAAGUAGGUUGUCUAGAUAUGCAACUAGGUGAGCAACCUAUAUGAUGCAACAAAGAUAGGAACACAAGCAAGCAAGAGAUAUAACACAAAUAAGCUUGCACAAGUAAAGGCACGAGAUAACCAAGAGAGGAGCCGAUGGAGACGAGGAUGUGUUACCGAAGUUCCUUCCCUUUGAGGGGAAGUACGUCUCCGUUGGAGCGGUGUGGAGGCACAAUGCUCCCUAAGAAGCCACUAGGGCCACCGUGUUCUCCUCACGCCCUCACACAAUGCGAGAUUUCGUGAUUCCACUAUUGGUGCCCUUGGAGGCGGCAACCGAACCUUUACAAACAAGGUUGGGGCAAUCUCCACAACUUAAUCGGAGGCUCCCAACGACACCACGAAGCUGCACCACAAUGGACUAUGGCUCCGCGAUGACCUAAACCGUCUAGGGUGCUCAAACACCCAAGAGUAACAAGAUCCGCAAGGGAUUAGUGGGGGCAAUCAAAUUUCGCUUGGUGGAAGUGUAGAUCGGGGCCUUCUCAACCACUCCCGAGCAAAUCAACAAGUUUGAUUGGCUAGGGAGUGAGAUCGGGCGAAAAUGGAGCUUAGAGCAACAAUGGAGCUUAGGGUUGGAAGAGGUAAACAAAUCGAGGAAGAAGACACCCCUUUUAUAGCUUAGGACAAAAAUCCAACCGUUAUCCACCUACCAGCCUGCGACCAGCGGUACUACCGCCCCAGACCAGCGGUACUACCGCAGGUCCACGCGGUACUUCCGCUUGCUGACAAGCGGUACUACCGCAAGGCCACGCGGUACUACCGUGCUGGCCCGCGGUACUACCGCAGCACCAGCAGCAGCUAGGGCAAACCUGUAGCACAAGAGCUGAGGGCGGUACUACCGCAGGCGUGGUACUACCGCUCCCCCUUGCAGUACUACCGCAAGGCAGGAAACCCCUAGCCUAGGAAGAGCGCGGAUAAAGAUACAUCCGUCCCUACUUCCGCUGGUAAACGGAAGAAGCAAAAACUCGACACAGUACUACCGCAGAGGAGCGGUACUACCGCCUGGCAGCUGAUCCAGGCCACGCACGGUACUACCGUGCAAGGCAUGCGGUACUACCGCAGUGGCGCGGAUGUAAAAAAUUACAUCCGCCCCUACUACCGCGAAGGAGCGGUACUUGGCCUGGGGGCCACGGUACUGCGGCUCCAGAGGAGCGGUACUACCGUGGGCACCUGCGGUACUACCGCGCCGAAGUGCGGUACUACCGCGGGUGCCUGCGGUACUACCACUUAACAAGGAGCAGUACUACCGCAAGCCCAUCAACAGCAGUCAGGACAAGGGAAAAGAGGAUCAACGGAGGAUGCUCCAAAGUGCAGGGGAAAGGAGGGGACAAGGAAGAAAACGUGUACGUGAUGAUUCCACCCAAACCUUUCCGACGCGGACCCCCUCUUAAUAGUACGGCUUUCCUACGACUCAAAUCCACCAAAAAGAAACGUAGAAAAGACGUUGUCUUCAAUAGUCUUCGAGGGGCACCAAACCGUCUUGUGCCUAGCGAUGAAACGUCUAGGAUACUCAAGGCACACGAUUAGUCCGCAAACGCAUUGUCAUCAAUCACCAAAACACCUUAGGGUUAAAUAUGCCCUUACACACACGUUGCAUCACACAGUUUUUCCAAAGAGCAAAAUAUGAAAGUGAUUAAUCAAACUAAUUUAUGCACCACUACUCUUCCAUCAAAUGGUGAUUUCUUGAUGUCCAAAAUUCAUGCUUCGAAAAAUGAUAAAUGGAUAUAAGAAAUGUGAGUAAUGGCAUGUGUAGCAGGUUUUGCGAUUUUUUGCCCGUUGCAAUGCACGGGCAUUUGUACUAGUCUAUAUCUAUAUCUAUACCAAUAUAAAAAGACCCAAAGGGGCAGACUCAAUUAAUCUCGGCCAUCAAAUCAUGUCAAUCCAACGAUCUAGACUGCUUCAAUGUCGAGCGCUCAACAUGUUUAGCGUGCGGUUGAUUUCAUGCCAAAUAUAGUGCUAAUCACAUAAUAACAUGUAAAUAAUAUCCUACUUAAUAUCCACAUGCACUUAAUAUACUUCCAAAUUAACGUGCAUUGCACGUACACAUUGACUAGUAAAGGAGGAAGAGUUGGCGUUUUCCCACCUAUUUGACGCCAAAGUUUACGGGCCAGCCUUUGCAUCAUUCACAAUAUAAUAAUGGGCCGUUUUUAGGGGAAUAACUGAAGCAUCGUUGCAAGCCCAUGCCGUUCUAAAGAAGAAAGUAUUGGCCUCGUAAGGCAACCGUGAAGUCGUCCAAGGAAAGGAAAAUAUAUAUCUCUGGAUUUUUUUUGAACGGACCAGCUGAUGGCUGGCAUAUAUUGAUAUCGAAAGCAAGGAGUAGGCGGGAAAAACACAAAGUGGAGUUCAAUCUGGUGAUCAAGGAUUGAAAAAGAAGACAAAAAACUAGUCGUGGCUAGAAUGCAGCAGGUUGCUCUCUCACGGAGGGUCCCAGAAAGGGUGCUCGAGGUGGGUUGCUCCUGCUUGGCACCACAACUCAAGGGUCCUUGUGAUGCUUGCCAUUGUUUCAGUCAGGCUUGCACUCUUUUGCCGGAAAGUGCAGUCGUUUCUCUGCUGCGAAAUGUCGCCGAUUACCAGAACGAUCAUUGUCUUGACUCCUUUUUUGUGCUCAGCUCUCGCUCCAUUUACCAUCUCUGUGAUGAUGUCGACCGCUUUGCUCUUCAGCUGCCAGUUCGAUGGGUGCAUGAAGCCGCAACCAUGUCCUUGGGCAGUUCUUGCCCAGAUUGACGAUGAAAAAGGGCACUGCCAGAAAAGGUGCUGCGAGGUCUCGAGGCUUCUGAGACAUAGCUGGCAGAAAUACUCGUUUGGCCAGUCUCGUCUCUGGAGAUGGUCAUUGCACCAUAGUCUAUUUUUGAGCAGCAGCCAGACUGUAAAUUUGAGCCUUGACGGUGCCCAGACUUUCCAUAGCAGAUUUUUUAAGUUUGUCUUGAGCAUCCCUUGGAACUGGCAGUUGUAUGCCGAGCUGGUGGAGAAGAAACCUGAGGCCGUGUGUUUCCACUUGAUUGUGUCUUGCUUGUGGUCGCUUAGGCUUAUGUUCUUGGAGAUGAGCCAUCUGCUCAGGCGGAUCACCUCCAGCCAGAGCUGUUGUGUUUGCCCGUGGGCUAGGUCUGCAACCCAGGUGUCAUCAUGGAGUGCCUCAUGGACCGUUUUGUUCUUCCUUCUUGAGUGCUUGUGUAGGUCAGGAAACUCCAUUUUGAGCGUGCCUGCACCCGUCCAGGAGCUGUCCCAGGAGCUGGUCGUCUUCCCAUCACCUAGCGUCACCGUGAUUGAGGCGUUGAACAGCUCUCUGUCUCCUUGAUCGCAGGGCAGGUGCAUGCCCACCCAGGGCCUGUUGGGAUAUCUCUGGAUUAACAUCGUGGUUUUAUCUCCUUCCUCGGUGCGUCGAUUGCUCUUCGGCUAUUAGGUUUGCCAUGUCGUCCGCUGUUGCCCCCGAAAAUUCAUCGUCGCCGGCCUCCGCCAUCAUAGCAGACACGUCGAGGGGCUACCACAUCCUGAAAAUCGAUGGCUACUUGCACUCCAAGGAGACCCCCACCGGUACAGACCUCAAAUCCCGCCAAUUCACCGUGUGCGGCUAUCGCUGGCGCAUCAGAUACUACCCCAACAGCGACCGCAAAGACAGUGCCGAUUACAUAGGCCUUUUCCUCAAGCUCGACGAAGCCAUCAGCAGGAAAGUGAAGGUGCAAUUCAUGUUUAGUUUCAUAGAUUCCAUGGAUAUGAAGCAUCCUUCUCUCGCAUUGUUGAAAGCGUACACCUUCGAUAGCCAAAGUCGUUCUUGGGGCCGUGGCAGGUUCAUCAAAAGGGAAGACCUGGAGAAGUCAAAUCACCUCGCGGACGAAUCUUUCACAGUCAGGUGCGACAUCGCCAUCCUCAAAAAGUUCCGCGUCAAGGUUCGUGUCCGUGCCCCCGUCCGACCUCGACCGGCACCUGGGUGAUCUCCUCGCUUCCGAGAAGGGCGCCGACGUGGUAUUCGAGGUCGCCGGCGAGACGUUCGCCGCGCAUCGUUGGCUGCUUGCGCCCCGGUCGCUGGUUUUCGGCGCGGACCUCUUCGGCUCAAUAAAAGAGGGCGGCACUGGCACCGGCACCGAAGACGUCAUACGCAUACACGACAUGGAGGCGUGGGUGUUCAGAGUGCUGCUGCAGUUCGUGUACGCCGACUCGCUGCCGGAGACGGGAACGAAAGGGGAGGAGGAAGAUACCAUGUGCCAGCAUCUUCUUGUUGCGGCCGACAGGUAUAACUUUGAGAGGCUGAAGCUGGUUUGCAAGGAGAAGCUAUGCGAGUGCAUCGGUGUAAGCACGGUCGGGACCAUCCUGGCGCUGGCCGAGCAGCACCGCUGCGACGGGUUGAAGAAGGCGUGCUUUCAUUUUCUCGGCUCUCUGCACAAUCUGACGGUGGCCUUGGCCACCGACGGCUUUCGGCACCUGAGUAGGAGUUGUCCUUCUGUGAUGAUAGAGCACCUCAGGAGAACAGUGUUAUCACUUACAAGUAAUGAAAGCACCUCAGGAGGCGCUGAACCCAACCAACAACUAGGAGGGAAAAACUUAACUAGCCUAGCAAGUUCAUGGGCUACUUUAUUACUCUCUCUAUUACAAUGAUCAUAAAUAACAUGGUUGAAAACAGAGGACAUGAAGAAACAAUCGUCAAUAAUAGCAUAUGCAACUGAAGAAGAAUUGUCGUCUUUUAGGGCUUCUACUAUCUCCAAACUAUUAGAGUUUACCACGAUCCUGCUGCAUCCGAUAGUUCUUGCGAGGUUUAGCCCAAACCUGAUGGCCAGAGCCUCUGAUGUGAAAGAAUCAGAGCAAAUGCCUAUUUUUUCGUUCGCCGCUGCAAUGAAUUGUCCACUCUGAUCGUGAAUGAUUGCCCCCAAGGAUCCUUCAAGUAGAUCUUGAUCAAACCCCGCAUCAACAUUUAAUUUCAUGUAUCCCUUUGGUGGCUUUUCCCAACCUCCAGACCAAAGUUUGGCUUUUGGUGAAUAUGCGAUACUGAAAUUUGCCGCUAGUCCGCGUACAGCUAGGGCGAUCCGAGUGGAUGUUUGAAUUUCCUCACCAUGGUAUACUUUACGAUGUUCGGACCACAAGUACCAAGCUGCGGUGACUACCAUCUCUCUCAUUUUUGGAAGCCCCAAGAUAUAGAAUUCUGUAUCUUCCACAUGCAACAACUCGUGCAUCACUUCAUCUCCAGACUUGUAUUUUGUGCACUUUUUCUUUACUAUCUCAUACAACCCCAAUUGUCUCCAAACCUAUACUGAUCUUGGACAUUCAAACAAGAAGUGGCGUAUACUAUCAGGUUCCAACCUGCAUUCUGGGCAUUGGAUUUUAACCUUCAUGUGUUUAGAAGCUAGGACUGCCCAACAUGGAAGAGCGGCAUGUAGUACCCGCCAUAUGAAGAUUUUAAUUUUUGCUGGGCAUUAUAAGCUCCAUAUCAAAUUCCAUUUCUCAUCAAGUGAUGAAGGGCCCGCAUUAACUUGAGUCAGGUCACCAAACUGAAAAUUCCAUUCAAUUUGAUAGGCUGAUCGCACUGAGAAAAGCCCGUUCUUGGUAGGGCUCCAUGCAAUAAAAUCAGACAUUUCAUGUAAAGGUAAGGGUAUAGCCAGAAUCCUUUGAACAUCCACAUUCCAGAACGUUUGGUUCACCAACAGCUCUGUGAUGAUAGAGCUGAUUGCCAUGUCCUCAAGCCGUUACGACGUACGUUGAGCGGCCUGGUACUGUUUUAGCAACGGCUGUUGAUGGAGUCUAGAGUCUAGAUCGACAUUAUGAGAUAAAUGUCCUGCUUUAGCAAAUGGUGCUUCUGUCCCCCUCACUUCCAGACUUCUUGACUUACAUGACCGUAUCUAUCAGGGCAUGUACAAUGGUUGAUAAAAUAGUUUUAUCUUAAGUCUUGCAUGUAAUUUAGAGAUGACAAAAAUAAACGUCUAUAAUGGGUCAUCUUUUAGGCUUAUCUUCAAUAACAGGUCAUUCCUAAAAAUGUAGUGAGACAUAUUGUGCUAAGACAUCAUCUCUUCUCCCCUUAAAUAAGAGAAGACAAACAUUUUUCUUAUGAGUUCUCUCUCCUCUAUCUCACCAUUUAUCCUACAUGUCAUUUCUAAGAUAGCAUCAUUGUACAUGCCCUCACGCCGGUAAUAGCAUUCUUCCACCUUUUUUAUUGUCAAAACCUAUUGACAUCUUCUUUGCCUUCUUGCGUUGACUUAGGGCGCCUGCCCCAAGGUUACUGAAAGAAAAAGAAAAAUAGCAGUACUUUUUUCGUUCAUUUUUAUAAGACCUUUUAGACAUUUAAGACAACAUCCAAAACAAUUCAAUUUCAGCUGUCUAAAACAUCUUACAAAAAUGAACAGAGGAAGUACUUGAAAUUCCUCAUCCUUGUACUUCCCAAGAUGGCUUAAUUUUAGGACAUCAAUAGGAAUCUAAAUUCGAUCUGGGGCAUUUGCCAGUGGAGCUUUGGCCCGUACAAUUUCCUAUUAGGAUUCGCCUACGGGCGGGAAAUAGCGGGUCAACCCAACACUAUAACGUAGGUUUUUCCCGUAGCUGUUAUUAUCGGGUUUUCCACUAUUUUGUAGCUAGGUUUUGCUUUUUUUUCUUUUCUUUUUCAUUCUCUGGUUUUCUUUGUUUUUUUCUUUAUUAUUUUUGUCGGUUUCCUUUGGUUCUCUUUUUUCCUUUCGUUUUUCAGCAUUUUAUUAUUUUUCAUAAAAAAUCAUUCUUUCUUUUUUUCCUUUUUUAACAUAUGUCUAAUAUUUUUCACGCAUAUUAUACCUUUUGGUAUACAUCAUGGACAUUUUUUCAUACAAGUUUAACAUUUUUAAAGUACAUGAUUAACAUUUUCUUUAAUAUAUGUUUUGAUGUCCAUUUUUUCCUACACCCUGUACAUUUUUCAAUAAUCAGAACAAUUUUUUAUAUAUUUCUACUAAAAAAUUCAAAUGCAUGAUUAACAGUUUUUUUAAAAUGUUUAGAUAUCAAUUUUUCUGACCCAUGUCUACAGUUUUCCAUACACUUCUGUAUACUUUUUUAUACAUCAGAAAAAAAUUAUACAUGCUUAACAACUUUGUAAAAAUGUAUGUUUUGAUGUCUAAUUUUUCAUACAUAUUGUACAUUUUUAUUAUGCAUAUGAAGUGUUAUUUUAUACAGGUUUAACAUUUUUCAUAUAUAUUAUUAAUAUUUUCUUAAAAUGUACGUUUUGAUGUGUACUUUUCUUAUACAAAUUUGCAUCUUUUUCAUAUCGAAUUGCUAGCUGGUUUUUAAUUUGGUCUCAUUCACAUCUGUAACCAUCCAAUUAAAUUGCAAGUGGAUUCGUGUCUAGUAAUACACUUUGUCGACCUGCGCAUACCCAUUCGUCUUUUCCCCUGGGGUUUGGGUUUACAAGUUGUGGUCGUUUCUGUGGCUUUUCUCUCUUGCUGGCCGAGAUGUGUUGCUUUCCCGCGUGCGUAUUGUCGCAGCCCCUGGUUUGGUGGGCCUAUUUUUUCCUACGAUGCACCAGGCCUUACUAUUGUUGCUUCUUUUUUUAUGCCUCUUUCUUUUGUUUUGUUCUUUUUGCGAAAUAUGCCUCUUUCUUUUGGUCUUUGUUAUAUUAUUUUUUGGGGGAGGUGCUUUCCCAUUGUUUGAAUGUAUAUAAUCUCUGUAGUUUUUUUUUGGUAAAAUGAUGAUUGUGGAUUUUUUUUUUGUUCCAUGUUUUUUCACCGCUACACACAUUAUAACUUAGUGCAACUUCAUGACCGUAAGUUUUUAUAGUGAUUUUGACUGAAAAAUGCAUUUUAGACCCCCUUAAUAUGUACUUUUCUCAGGCUUUGAGAAGUUUCCGGGGUUGUCUAUGACUUCCUCCGUUCCGUUUUAUAAGUAUUUUUUUAAAGAGGUGAAAAGUUUCUAGUACCUUUGAAUGAGAUUAGAUAAACUAUUAGUGACAUAUAAGGUGUUUUAAUCUUGUACCCCAAUUUAUACCGAUUUGAUAUUGCAGAUGUUGACUUCUUUUCCUAUAAGCUUCGUCAAAGAUAGAAGAGUUUUACUUUCGAAAAAACAUACACCUCAUAAAAGGGAAGGAGAAACAUGAUAUGGAUCCCUAAAUGCUCAGCAUCAUAGACAGCCCAAUUUCUCCGCUGCCAACCACAAAAACAUGAUACAAUCUUCGGAGUCCCUGAGUGGUUUCGUUUGGUCUUACCGAGUAAACGGUUGUCAACUCAUUAUACUCUUUUAUAUUCCAUUUGGACUUUUCGAGAGGUCUCGUUCGUUCUCACCGAGUGGACCGAGUGCUUCGUGACAAAUUUUCUGACAUCCACUCGGUCUCAUUGAGUCAAAUCCAAUUGGUAUGUCCGGAGUGAUUGCAGCUUAUGUGACCUUGUUUUGGCCCCACGGGUUGCAUACAACCUCGGAUUGAGAUGAUCCAAAUAUCAAAAUCAUUCGUUUUGAUGAUACUGAACUUUCCCCGUUGGAUACUUUACCAUUUAACGCCGUCUUAAUUGGGUGUUUGCUGCCUUGACAUAAUUUGGUGCCAACAUACACUUUGCUAGAUUUAUCACAAUGUUUGCGACUGAGCUCCGCUUUUGACCAUCUUCAUAUCCAUCUUAAUCUUCUUGAAGACAGCCAUCCAAUGGUGACUUCCAAUCAUAAGUUUGAAUUAAUAUCGGUCAUCUUUACGCUUAGGGAGAUAAUUUUAUAUCGGUCAUCUUUAUAUCGGUCAUCUUUAUGCUUAGGGAGAUAAUUUUAUAUCAAUCAUCUUUAUUCUUCGGUCGAUAAUUUAUAUAUUGACCAUUUGGAUUAGACAAAAAUUAGCUAAUCGAAUGUAUUGUAAUACCCUUUCAUGAAGUAAGAAAUUAUAUUCCAUCCAUAGAUCAAAAUAAGCCCAUGAGGGUAACCAAUCAUAUUCGAGGAUGAAUUUCAUGGCGUCGGCUUCAAUGUCAUAGUUGAAGAAUAUGGGUAAUGUGGGAACCAAAGAUUUUGAUGCGCAAACCUUCUACUUGUUUGUUCACAACCUUCAACCUUCCCCUUCUUCAACUUUGUUGCACUUAUUGUAAUGGAAUCUUGCACAAAAUUUUUGUUUUGAGUGCUUCCUUUGGGAACCCAUGCCAUGUUCCUCUUUUUCAGCUCUUGUGCACUAAGCUUAUGCAAUUUCUUCUUUUGCUAAUAUGAUAAGCCGAGUGCGUGCAUCAGCUAUGAUUCCUGAAGCAAUGGCAAUUCUUUUUUAACCUUGUGCACGCUGAAAUUAAUUUCUCCGGAUUUCACAUUUUGGCUUUCUACAAUUGAUCGCUUCAUCUCAUUGCCUUCAGUAGCCAAUGUCAACAUCUUAAUUGCCUUUUUGUUAUUUGAAAUCAAAUCCGAAGUGGCAUACUUACGUCCAUCUUUGUUGACUUGAUAUACUUGCGUGACCACCUCUUUCUUCUUUCUUAAGCUCUGGACUAAUACUUUUUGAGUGAAAUGGGAUUUUCUAUGUAAUUGUUCAUCAAAUGUUGACCCUCUUGGAGCUGCAUAUUCUUGGCGAGAUGGUCUAAAAUAAAAUGGAUAAUGUGCCAUGAAUCAUAUAUGUCUCAUGAUGGAUAUGAAUAAUAAUUACCAUAGCAAAGUAUUCAGGACACUGGCAUCGACAACCGAAAAGGAGGAUAUGAAUAUGAAUAAAAUCCCCCCUUACCAAUGUUGGUCUUUAGAUUUGCGCCUAGGGGUGAUCUUGAUACCUUUGCAUUGUUUGGCCUAUAAGCACAUUUUGAUUCUCUCGCCUUUUAAAAUUAUCUAAUAACUGUAGAAGGUCACUUUUAUUUUCUUACCCUUGUGCUUAUUUCGGCCAUCGUCUCCUUUUGUUUUGUUUGCAUCGACCUCUGGAUUGCUUGUUGCCCCCUAGUUUUUGGUGUCUUCAUCAUAACUUCAUUUGACUCUCGCCUUAAAGAAUAUUUUCAUUGUGCUCUUGAGCAACUUCCUUACUUGAAAGCUUGAUCCGGUCAUCCGCACUUUUUACCUUCUCAUCUUUUACUGAAUCAACUUGAAGAAGCCAAGCAAAAACUUUUGGUCAUCAAGGCCAAUCGAAAUAGACUCCUCAUCCUUUGGUGUUUCAACAAAUUUCAGUCGUCCUUUAUCAAUGGCCGAUUUUACUAUUUGACAAAACAUAUCGCAAUCCUCAAAAUUAUGAUCGAACUUACAAUACAUUCAUCCUUGGAUUAUGGCAUAACAUGGUGAUAAAGAAUUCUAAUAUAAUUAUUUUUCAACAACAAGUCAAAGAUUUGAUUACACAUUCUUGAGUUGAAGGUAUAAUUCCAAUCUUCUAGCCGAUCUUGGUGCGAGAACGGCUUUGGAGGUAAGCAGACAUAUGGCUUAGAUUUGGCAUCACCCCAUUGAGCUAUGCAUUGUGUUUUGCACUCUAUCUCCGAUAUCUUUGAAUGAGAAAUUAAACUAUCAUCAUUUUCUUAAUAGAAUUUGACCUUGGCUUUAGAUUUUUGAAAUCAAAACAAGUCAAGUAUGAAACAUGCAAACCUACCCAUUUAGAUAUAAACUUUAAAUAACACAAUGGGAAAAGCUUUGGCUGCAAUAAUAAGUCACUGUCGGUCUCUCUAAUGGUACAAUGUGUUGAUUGAUAUGCUUUGUAAUAAAUUUACUGCUAACAAGUAAAUUACCCUUCUUCAUUUGUCUCUCAAGAUUUUUUAUAAUAAUUUUUCUGAUAUAUGCAUCAAAAAUAAAGUUGCACCAAAUCAGAAAAUAGAUAAAUCACUUGCUAGACAUACCUCUUUAAAUAUGUUGGGAGAGCAUGAUAGUGGUGUAACUUGAACGAUACUUUAUUCCGCUUUUGGAUGGAUCCCCAACAUCUUGUAGUACUCUUUUUCUUUAUUAAGUUCACCCCAUGUAUGAUUUGAUUCGACUUUAUCAAUAACCGAAUUAUCUUUAAUAGCCAAAUCAUUCAUAUUUUCUUUGAUUCGCUAGGCUUCUUGUUCUUGUCUAAUUUCAGACCACAUUGCAGGCUGGUGAGUCUUAAUUUUUUGUACUUCCAAUUUUAGUCCACUCUUCAUCGAAUCCCCCCCCCCCAAUGCUUUGAGAACCUUUCGGCAAUGAGUUUUUUGAAGCUUUGCGGUUGUUUAGGGGGUGUAUCGGAUACUAUAGUACUGGGUGAAGUCAUUAUNNNNNNNNNNNNNNNNNNNNNNNNNNNNNNNNNNNNNNNNNNNNNNNNNNNNNNNNNNNNNNNNNNNNNNNNNNNNNNNNNNNNNNNNNNNNNNNNNNNNNNNNNNNNNNNNNNNNNNNNNNNNNNNNNNNNNNNNNNNNNNNNNNNNNNNNNNNNNNNNNNNNNNNNNNNNNNNNNNNNNNNNNNNNNNNNNNNNNNNNNNNNNNNNNNNNNNNNNNNNNNNNNNNNNNNNNNNNNNNNNNNNNNNNNNNNNNNNNNNNNNNNNNNNNNNNNNNNNNNNNNNNNNNNNNNNNNNNNNNNNNNNNNNNNNNUCGAUAUGUUUGGCAAUGUUUUGUUGUAGAAGUAUAACAAUUAUGUAGGGGACACACCACAUGCCACAGUGUUGGGUACAUGCACAUGCACUCCUAUAAAAGUUUCACUUAUUCAGCUAUGUCCAUGAAGGUGUGGAGCCAAAUUAUGAAUAUCAAAAAUUGUGUCUGGUGCCAAACAAUUACUAGCAUGAGGCAUGGCAUAUGACGGUUGAUGAUAAUUGGCUGAGUAACUACUGGUAGCUUGGCCAAUUCACCCAUCCAUCGGCAUGUUUGGAUUUACAUAUUGCAAGUUGCCGCUGAAUAAAAGGGUGAAACACUUUCUUGCAUGGCAUUGGAAGUUCUAACACAGAGUAUUUCAAAUUGACCAAAACGUCAUGUUGGUCCACAUGUAUAUUUCUUCUAUGUACAAACACACGUAUUGUUUGCUUUGUUGAAUGAAAUACCAGUUAAAAAAGGUAAAUAAAAACUUGCAGCCGUGACAGAAAUAAUUCAAAGCAGAGUAAACCAGUCGCAUCAAAGCAAAUACGAGUGUGUGACGAAUCAACUUGUGGUUGGAUGGUUAGAAAUACAGUGAUAUUCUCUUACCACUAGAGCUCAAGUCCCAGAUUUAACAUUGGUGCUCACAUUCUUAUGAAUUUAUUUAAGGCCUUUUGGCGAUGUGCUUUCAGUGAGAGAAGACGUUCAAGUCAACUACGAAUGUGUCUGCGGCGACUUCGUUAAUUUCAAGAUGAUGUGCCUGCUCGGUCUCUCAAAGGUGCUCAUAGGGGUGGAGUGUGUGUGCGCACAUUCAUAGGGAUGAAUGUAUAUUUGUAUGUACGGGUGUCUGCGUCUGUACUCUAUUAAAAAAAUACGAGUGUGACACUAGAACCGACAACACAUAAUACCAUUGUGACAAACCUAUUAAGGCGAGUAAUAGGCGCCUAGGUGCCGGCCGAACGCAAAGCGUACGUAUGAUUCGUCCAAUAUACCACACGAUGCCAUCUUCCCCCUGCUUCGUUAUUUAAGAAAAGCAUAUUGUGUGUUCAUCCAGAGCACCCGUCGUGAUCUCCUCUAGUCGUCAGCUAGCCCGCCGGCCAUCCACGUCGCCGCCGGCCGCCGGCCGCCGCCCUCAUCAUCGUCGGCCGCCGCCUAGAUGUCCUCCCAGCCACCGGCUCCUUUCCAGUGUCACUGUCGCUUGGUCCUAGCAUGGCCCUCCCCCGGUCGCCGUGGCUCUCGCCGGCUCCAUCGCACACAGAUCCUUCCAACGAAGGUCGCAACUCUGGCGAAGGAGUGCCACCAUUGCAUCAAUGGUGAGGUGCCAAUGUUGGGGAACGUAGUAAUUUCAAAAAAAAAAUCCUACGCACACGCAAGAUCAUGGUGAUGCAUAGCAACAAGAGGGAAGAGUGUUGUCUAUGUACCCUCGUAGACUGUAAGCGAAAGCGUUAUGACAACGCGGUUGAUGUAGUCGUACGUUUUCACGAUCGACCGAUCCUAGCAUCGAAGGUACGACACCUCCGCGAUCUGGACACGUUCGGCUCGGUGACGUCCCACGAACUCACGAUCCAGUAAAGUGUCGAGGGAGAGCUUCGUCAACAUGGCGGCGUGAUGACGGUGAUGAUGAUGCUACCGGAACAGGGCUUCGCCUAAGCACCGCUACGAUAUGACCGAGGUGGAUUAUGGUGGAGGGGGCACCGCACACGGCUAAGAGAUCAAUGAUCAACUUGUAUGUCUAUGAGGUGCCCCCCUCCCUCGUAUAUAGAGGAGUGGAGGGGGAGGCCGGCCUCCUAGGCGUGCCCCAAGGGGAGUCCUACUCCCACCGGGAGUAGGAUUCCCCCCUUUCCCUAGUUGGAUUAGGAGAGAAGGAAGGAGGAGGAAGGAAAGGGGGGCCGGCCCCCCUCCCAAUUCAGAUUGGGCUUGGGGGGGCGCCCCCUCCUUUGCUCCCUUCUCCUCUCUUCCACUAUGGCCCAAUAAGGCCCAUAUACCUUUCAGGGGGUUUCGGUAACCUCUCGGUGUUGGGUUUCGUAGUAAUUUCAAAAAAAAUCCUACGCUCACGCAAGAUCAUGGUGAUGCAUAGCAACGAGAGGGGGAGAGUGUAAUCUACGUACCCUUGUAGAUCGACAACGGAAGCGUUUGGUUGAUGUAGUCGUACGUCUCCACGGCCCGACCGAUCAAGCACCGAAACUACGGCACCUCCGAGUUCUAGCACACGUUCAGCUCGAUGACGAUCCCCGGACUCCGAUCCAGCAAAGUGUCGGGGAAGAGUUCCGUCAGCAUGACGGCGUGGUGACAAUCUUGAUGUACUACUGUCGCAGGGCUUCGCCUAAGCACCGCUACAAUAUUAUCGAGGAUUAUGGUGGAAGGGGGCACCGCACACGGCUAAGAAUAUGAUCAUGUGGAUCAACUUGUGUCAAGAGGUGCCCCCCUGCCCCCGUAUAUAAAGGAGCAAGGGAGGAGGAGGCCGGCCCUAGGAGGGGGCGCGCCAAGUGUGGAGUCCUACUAGGACUCCCUAGUCCUAGUAGGAUUCCACCUCCCAUAUGGAAUAGGAAAAGAGGAAGGGAAAAGGAGAAGGAAGGAAGGGGACGCCCCCCUUCCCUAGUCCAAUUCGGACCAGACCAAGGGGAGGGGUGCGGCCACCCUUGAGGCCCUUUUUCUUCUUUCCCGUAUGGCCCAAUAAGUAUUCCCGUAACCGUAACUCUCCGGUACUCCGAAAAAUACCCGAAUCACUCGGAACCUUUCCGAUGUCCGAAUAUAGUCGUCCAAUAUAUCGAUCUUUACGUCUCGACCAUUUUGACACUCCUCGUCAUGUCCCCGAUCUCAUCCGGGACUCCGAACUCCUUCGAUACAUCAAAACUCAUAAACUCAUAAUAUAACUAUCAUCGAAACCUUAAGCAUGCGUACCCUACGGGUUCGAGAACAAUGUAGACAUGACCGAGACACGUCUCUGGUCAAUAACCAAUAGCGGGACCUGGAUGCCCAUAUUGGCUCCUACAUAUUCUACGAAGAUCUUUAUCGGUCAGACCGCAUAACAAUAUACGUUGUUCCCUUUGUCAUCGGUAUGUUACUUGCCCGAGAUUCGAUCGUCGGUAUCUCAAUACCUAGUUCAAUCUCGUUACCAGCAAGUCUCUUUACUCGUUCCGUAAUACAUCAUCCCGCAACUAACUCAUUAGUUGCAAUGCUUGCAAGGCUUUAGUGAUGUGUAUUACCGAGAGGGCCCAGAGAUACCUCUCCGAUAAUCGGAGUGACAAAUCCUAAUCUCGAAAUACGCCAACCCAACAUGUACCUUUGGAGACACCUGUAGAGCACCUUUAUAAUCACCCAGUUACGUUGUGAUGUUUGGUAGCACACAAAGUGUUCCUCCGGCAAAUGGGAGUUGCAUAAUCUCAUAGUCAUAGGAACAUGUAUAAGUCAUGAAGAAAGCAAUAGCCACAUACUAAACGAUCGGGUGCUAAGCUAAUGGAAUGGGUCAUGUCAAGCAGAUCAUUCAACUAAUGAUAUGAUCCCGUUAAUCAAAUAAUAACUCUUUGUCCAUGGUUAGGAAACAUAACCAUCUUUGAUUAACGAGCUAGUCAAGUAGAGGCAUACUAGUGACACUCUGUUUGUCUAUGUAUUCACACAUGUAUUAUGUUUCCGGUUAAUACAAUUCUAGCAUGAAUAAUAAACAUUUAUGAUGAUAUAAGGAAAUAAAUAAUAACUUUAUUAUUGCCUCUAGGGCAUAUUUCCUUCAGUCUCCCACUUGCACUAGAGUCAAUAAUCUAGAUCACAUCGCCAUGUGAUUUAACAUCAAUAGUUCAAAUCUUUAUGUGAUUGGUUCACAUCUCCAUGUGACUAACACCCAAAGGGUUUACUAGAUUCAAUAAUCUAGUUCACAUCGAUAUGUGAUUAAGACCCAAAAAGUGAUUAUGUUUUUCUUGUGAGAGAAGUUUAGUCAACGGGUCUGCCACAUUCAGAUCCGCAUGUAUUUUGCAAAUUUCUAUGUCAACAAUGCUCUGCAUGGAGCUACUUCUAGCUAAUUGCUCCCACUUUCAAUAUGUAUCCAGAUUGAGACUUAGAGUCAUCUGGAUCAGUGUCAAAACUUGCAUCGACGUAACCCUUUACGACGAACCUUUUGUCACCUCCGUAAUCGAGAAACAUAUCCUUAUUCCAGUAAGGAUAAUUUUGACCGCUGUCCAUUGAUCUACUCCUACAUCACUAUUGCACUCCCUUUCUUAACUCAGUGUAUGGUAUACAAUAGAUCUGGUACACAGCAUGGCAUACUUUAUAGAACCUAUGACUAAGGCAUAGGGAAUGACUUUCGUUAUCUUUCUAUCUUCUGCCGUGGUCGGGCUUUGAGUCUUACUCAACUUCACACCUUGUAACACAGGCAAGAACUCUUUCUUUGACUGCUCCAUUUUGAACUACUUCAAAAUCUUGUCAAGGUUUGUACUUAUUGAAAAAAAACUUAUCAAGCGUCUUGAUCUAUCUCUAUAGAUCUUGAUGCUCAAUAUGUAAGCAGCUUCACCGAGGUCUUUCUUUGAAAAACUCCUUUCAAACACUCCUUUAUGCUUUGCAGAAUAAUUCUACAUUGUCUCUGAUCAACAAUAUGUCAUUCACAUAUACUUAUCAGAAAUGUUGUAGUGCUCCCACUCACUUUCUAGUAAAUACAGGCUUCACCACAAGUCUGUAUAAAACUAUAUGCUUUGAUCAACUUAUCAAAGCGUAUAUUCCAACUCCGAGAUGCUUACACCAGUCCAUAGAUGGAUCGCUGGAGUUUGCAUAUUUUGUUAACACCUUUAGGAUUGACAAAAACUUCUGGUUGCAUCAUAUACAACUCUUCUUUAAGAAAUCCAUUAAGGAUUGCAGUUUUGUUAUCCAUUUGCCAGAUUUCAUAAAAUGCGGCAAUUGCUAACAUGAUUCGGACAGAUUUAAGCAUAGAUACGAGUGAGAAACUCUCAUCGUAGUCAACACCUUGAACUUGUCGAAAACCUUUUGCGACAAUUCUAGCUUUGUAGAUAGUAACACUACUAUCAGCGUCCGUCUUCCUCUUGAAGAUCCAUUUAUUCUCAAUUGCUUCCCGAUCAUCAGGCAAGUCAACCAAAGUCCAUACUUUGUUCUCAUACAUGGAUCCCAUCUCAGAUUUCAUGGCCUCAAGCCAUUUUGCGGAAUCUGGGCUCAUCAUCGCUUCCUCAUAGUUCGCAAGUUCGUCAUGGUAUAGUAACAUGACUUCCAGAACAGGAUUACCGUACCACUCUGGUGCGGAUCUCACUCUGGUUUACCUACGAGAUUCGGUGGUGACUUGAUCUGAAGUUACAUGAUCAUCAUCAUUAGCUUCCUUACUAAUUGGUGUAGUAGUCACAAGAACAGAUUUCUGUGAUGAACUACUUUCCAAUAAAGGAGCAGGUACAGUUAUCUCAUCAAGUUCUACUUUCCUCCCACUCACUUCUUUCGAGAGAAAUUCCUUCUCUAGAAAGGAUCCAUUCAAAGCAACGAAUAUCUUGCCUUCGGAUCUGUGAUAGAAGGUGUACCCAACAUUUUCUUUUUGGGUAUCCUAUGAAGACGCACUUCUCCGAUUUGGGUUUGAGCUUAUCAGGUUGAAACUUUUUCACAUAAGCAUUGCAACCUCAAACUUUAAGAAACGACAGCUUAGGUUUCUUGCCAAACCAUAGUUCAUACGGUGUCGUUUCAACGGAUUUAGAUGGUGCCCUAUUUAACGUGAAUGUAGUUGUCUCUAAUGCAUAAUCCCAAAACGAUAGUGGUAGAUUGGUAAGAGACAUCAUAGUUCGCCCCAUAUCUAAUAAAGUACGGUUAUGACGUUCGGACACACCAUUAUGCUGUGGUGUUCCAUGUGGCAUGAGUUUGUGAAACUAUUCCACAUUGUUUUAAUUGAAGACCAAACUCGCAACUCAAAUAUUUGUCUCCGCGAUCAGAUCGUAGAAACUUUAUUUUCUUUGUCACGAUGAUUUUCCACUUCACUCUGAAAUUCUUUGAACUUUUCAAAUGUUUCAGACUUAUGUUUCAUCAAGUAGAUAUACCCAUAUCUGCUCAAAUCAUCUGUGAAGUUCAGAAAAUAACGAUACUUGCCAUGAGCCUCAACACACAUCGGACCGCAUACAUCAGUAUGUAUUAUUUCCAAUAAGUCAGUUGCUCGCUCCGGAGAAUGGAGUCUUAGUCAUCUUGCCCAUGAGGCAUGGUUCGCAAGCAUCAAGUGAUUCAUAAUCAAGUGAUUCCAAAAUCCCAUCAGCAUGGAGUUUCUUCAUGCGCUUUACACCAAUAUGACCUAAAUGGCAGUGCUCAAAUAAGUUGCACUAUCAUUAUUAACUUUGCAUCUUUUGGUUUCAAUAUUAUGAUUAUGUGUAUCACUACGAUCGAGAUCCAACGAACUAUUUUCAUUGGGUGUGUAACCAUAUAAGGUUUUAUUCAUGUAAACAGAACAACAAUUUAUUCUCUUACUUGAAUGAAUAACCGUAUUACAAUAAACAUGAUCAAAUCAUAUUCAUGCUUAACGCAAACACCAAAUAACACUUAUUCAGAUUCAACACUAAUCCCGAAAGUAUAGGGAGUGUGCGAUGAUGAUCAUAUCAAUCUUGGAACCACUUCCAACACACAUCAUCACUUCACCCUUAACUAGUCUCUGUUUAUUCUGCAACUCCCGUUUCGAGUUACUAAUCUUAGCAACUGAACUAGUAUCAAAUACUGAGGGGUUGCUAUAAACACUAGUAAAGUACACAUCAAUAACAUGUAUAUCAAAUAUACUUAUGUUCACUUUGCCAUCCUUCUUAUCUGCCAAUCACUUGGGGUAGUUCCGCUUCCAGUGACCAGUCCCUUUGCAGUAGAAACACUUAGUCUCAGGCUUAGGACCAGACUUGGGCUUCUUCACUUGAGCAGCAACUUGCUUGUUUUCUUCUUGAAGUUCCCCUUCUUCCCUCUGCCCUUUUCUUAAAACUAGUGGUCUUGUCUACCAUCAACACUUGAUGUUUUUCUCGAUUUCUACCUUCGUCAAUUUACGCAUUACGAAGAGCUUGGGAAUCGUUUCCGUUAUCCCUUGCAUAUCAUAGUUCAUCACGAAGUUCUACUAACUUGGUGAUGGUGACUAGAGAAUUCUGUCAAUCACUAUCUUAUCUGGAAGAUUAACUCCCACUCGAUUCAAGCGAUUGUAGUACUCAGACAAUCUGAGCACAUGCUCACUAGUUGAGCGAUUCUCCUCCAUCUUUUAGCUAUAGAACUUGUUGGAGACUACAUAUCUCUCAACUCGGGUAUUUGCUUGAAAUAUUAACUUCAACUCCUGGAACAUCUCAUAUGCUCCAUGACGUUCAAAGCGUCUUUGAAGUCCCGAUUCUAAGCCAUUAAGCAUGGUGCACUAAACUAUCAAGUAGUCAUCAUAUUGAGCUAGCCAAACGUUCAUAACGUCUGCAUCUGCUCCUGCAAUAGAUCCGUCACCUAGCGGUGCAUCAAGGACAUAAUUCUUCUGUGCAGCAAUGAGGAUAAACCUCAGAUCACGGAUCCAAUCCGCAUCAUUGCUACUAACAUCUUUCAACACAAUUUUCUCUAGGCACAUAUCAAAAUAAACACAGGGAAGCAACAACGCGAGCUAUUGAUCUACAACAUAAUUUGCAAAAUACUACCAGGACUAAGUUCAUGAUAAAUUUAAGUUCAAUUAAUCAUAUUACUUAAGAACUCCCACUUAGAUAGACAUCCCUCUUAUCCUCUAAGUGAUUACGUGAUCCAAAUCAACUAAACCAUGUCCGAUCAUCACGUGAGAUGGAGUAGUUUCAUUGGUGAACAUCACUAUGUUGAUCGUAUCUACUAUAUGAUUCACGCUCGACCUUUCGGUCUCCGUGUUCCGAGGCCAUAUCUGUAUAUGCUUGGCUCGUCAAGUAUAACCUGAGUAUUCCGUGUGUGCAACUGUUUUGCACCCGUUGUAUUUGAACGUAGAGCCUAUCACACCCGAUCAUCACGUGGUGUCUCAGCACGAAGAACUUUCGCAAUGGUGCAUACUCAGGGAGAACACUUCUUGAUAAUUAGUGAGAGAUCAUCUUAUAAUGCUAGCGACAAUCUAAGCAAGAUAAGAUGCAUAAAAGAUAAACAUCACAUGCAAUCAAUAUAAGUGAUAUGAUAUGGCCAUCAUCAUCUUGUGCUUGUGAUCUCCAUCUUCGAAGCACCGUCGUGAUCACCAUCGUCACCGGCGCGACACCUUGAUCUCCAUCGUAGCAUCGUUGUCGUCUCUCCAAUAUUAUGCUUCCACGACUAUGGCUACCGCUUAGUGAUAAAGUAAAGCAUUACAGCGCGAUUGCAUUGCAUACAAUAAAGCGACAACCAUAUGGCUCAUGCCAGUUGCCGAUAACUCGGUUACAAAACAUGAUCAUCUCAUACAAUAAAAUUUAGUAUCAUGUCUUGACCAUAUCACAUCACAACAUGCCCUGCAAAAACAAGUUAGACGUCCUCUACUUUGUUGUUGCAAGUUUUACGUGGCUGCUACGGGCUUAAGCAAGAACCAAUCUUACCUACGCAUCAAAACCACAAUGAUAGUUUGUCAAGUUGGUGCUAUUUUAACCUUCACAAGGACCGGGCGUAGCCACACUCGGUUCAACCAAAGUUGGAGAAACUGUCACCCGCUAGCCACCUUUGUGCAAAGCACGUCGGGAGAACCGGUCUCGCGUAAGCGUACGCGUAAUGUCGGUCCGGGCCGCUUCGUCCAACAAUACUGCCGAACCAAAGUAUGACAUGCUGGUAAGCAGUAUGACUUAUAUCGCCCACAACUCACUUGUGUUCUACUCGUGCAUAUAACAUCAACAUAUAAAACCUAGGCUCGGAUGCCACUGUUGCGUUUCGUAGUAAUUUCAAAAAAAUUCCUACGCUCACCCAAGAUCAUGGUGAUGCAUAGCAACGAGAGGGGGAGAGUGUAAUCUACGUACCCUUGUAGAUCAACAACGAAAGUGUUUGGUUGAUGUAGUCGUACGUCUCCACGGCCCGACCGAUCAAGCACCGAAACUACGGCACCUCCGAGUUCUAGCACACGUUCAGCUCGAUGACGAUCCCCGGACUCCGAUCCAGCAAAGUGUCGGGGAAGAGUUCCGUCAGCACGACGGCGUGGUGACAAUCUUGAUGUACUACUGUCGCAGGGCUUCGCCUAAGCACCGCUACAAUAUUAUCGAGGAUUAUGAUGGAAGGGGGCACCACACACGGCUAAGAAUAUGAUCACGUGGAUCAACUUGUGUCAAGAGGUGCCCCCCUGCCCCCGUAUAUAAAGGAGCAAGGGAGGAGGAGGCCGGCCCUAGGAGGGGGCGCGCCAAGUGUGGAGUCCUACUAGGACUCCCUAGUCCUAGUAGGAUUCCACCUCCCAUAUGGAAUAGGAAAAGAGGAAGGGAAAAGGAGAAGGAAGGAAGGGGGCGCCCCCCUUCCCUAGUCCAAUUCGGACCAGACCAAGGGGAGGGGUGCGGCCACCCUUGAGGCCCUUUUUCUUCUUUCCCGUAUGGCCCAAUAAGGCCCAAUACGUAUUCCCGUAACUCUCCGGUACUCCCCUAAAAUCCCGAUUUCACCCGGAACCUUUCCGAUGUCCGAAUAUAGUCGUCCAAUAUAUCGAUCUUACGUCUCGACCAUUUCAAGAGUCCUCGUCAUGUCCGUGAUCACAUCCGAGACUCCGAACAAACUUCGGUACAUCAAAAUAUAACUGUCAUCGUAACCUUAAGCGUGCGGACCCUACGGGUUCGAGAACAAUGUAGACAUGACCGAGACACGUAUCCGGUCAAUAACCAAUAGCGGAACCUGGAUGCUCAUAUUGGCUCCUACAUAUUCUACGAAGAUCUUUUAUCGGUCAGACCGCAUAACAACAUACGUUGUUCCCUUUGUCACUGGUAUGUUACUUGCCCGAGAUUCGAUCGUCGGUAUCCCAUACCUAGUUCAAUCUCGUUACCGGCAAGUCUCUUUACUCGUUCCAUAAUACAUCAUCCCGCAACUAACUCAUUAGUUGCAAUUCUUGCAAGGCUUCAGUGAUGUGUAUUACCGAGAGGGCCCAGAGAUACCUCUCCGACAAUCGGAGUGACAAAUCCUAAUCUCGAAAUACGCCAACCCAACAUGUACCUUUGGAGACACCUGUAGAGCACCUUUAUAAUCACCCAGUUACGUUGUGAUGUUUGGUAGCACACAAAGUGUUCCUCCGGCAAACGGAAGUUGCAUAAUCUCAUAGUCAUAGGAACAUGUAUAAGUCAUGAAGAAAGCAAUAGCAACAUACUAAACGAUCGGGUGCUAAGCUAAUGGAAUGGGUCAUGUCAAUCAGAUCAUUCAACUAAUGAUGUGAUCCCGUUAAUCAAAUAACAACUCUUUGUUCAUGGUUAGGAAACAUAACCAUCUUUGAUUAACGAGCUAGUCAAGUAGAGGCAUACUAGUGACACUCUGUUUAUCUAUGUAUUCACACAUGUAUUAUGUUUCCGGUUAAUACAAUUCUAGCAUGAAUAAUAAACAUUUAUCAUGAUAUAAGGAAAUAAAUAAUAACUUUAUUAUUGCCUCUAGGGCAUAUUUCCUUCACUCGGUACAUCGGUAAAUGCCCGAUCUCAUCCGGAAUCUUUAUGUCUCAACCAUUUUGAGACUCCUCGUCAUGUUCUUGAUCAUAUCCGGGACUCUGAACUAUCUUCGGUACAUCAAAACACAUAAACUCAUAAUAUGAUCGUCACCGAACGUUAAGCGUGCGGACCCUAUGGGUUCGAGAACUAUGUUGACAUGACCGAGACUCUCCGGUCAAUAACCAAUAGCAGAACCCGGAUGCUCAUAUUGGUUCCUACAUAUUCUACAAAGAUCUUUAUCGGUCAAACCGCAUAACGAUAUAUGUUGUUCCCUUUGUCAUCCGUAUGUUACUUGCCCGAGAUUUGAUCGUCGGUAUCUCAAUACCUAGUUCAAUCUCGUUACCGGCAAGUCUCUUUACUCGUUUUGUAAUGCUACAUCCCGUAACUAACUCAUUAGCUACAUUGCUUGCAAGGCUUAUAGUGAUGUACAUUACCGAGAGGGCCCAAAGAUACAUCUCCGACAAUCGGAGUGACAAAUCCUAAUCUCGAUCUAUGUCAACUCAACAAACACCAUCGGAGACACCUGUAGAGCACCUUUAUAAUCACCCAGUUACGUUGUGACAUUUGGUACCACACAAAGUGUUCCUCCGGUAUUCGGGAGUUGCAUGAUCUCAUAGCCAUAGGAACAUGUAUAAGUUAUGAAUAAAGCAAUAGUAAUAAACUAAACGAUCAUCGUGCUAAGCUAACGGAUGGGUCAAGUCAAUCACAUCAUUCUCUAAUGAUGUGAUCCCGUUAAUAAAAUGACAACUCAUGUCUAUGGCUAGGAAACAUAACCAUCAUUGAUUCAACGAGCUAAUCAAGUAGAGGCAAACUAGUGACACUAUGUUUAUCUAUGUAUCCACACAUGUACUAAGUUUCCGGUUAAUACAAUUCUAGCAUGAAUAAUAAACAUUUAUCAUGAAAUAAGGAAAUAAAUAAUAACUUUAUUAUUGCCUCUAGGGCAUAUUUCCUUCGGCCAGUUCCAGCUUUAUGACGUCGGGUUGAAGCUUUUCAAAAAUAGGGUUGAAGCUUUUCACAUCAACGAUUGCAACUUUUUCGUUGUGUACUCGCGGGUUGAAGCUUUCUAUAAAAACGGUUGAAGCUCUUCAGCUCAACGGUUGAAGCUUUCCAAAAUGACGGUUGUACAUUUUUAUUAUUUCGUAGUGGUCAGAUGAAACUUCUCUAUUCCGCCGUUGGAAGCUUUUUCGAAUACGGUUUGAAGCUUUCACAUGAACUAUUGAAGCUUUUUUCAGUCAAUGGUGUCUUGUUCAAGCUUUAUAUACCGCUGGUUAAAGCUUUCAAAUCGAACGGUUGUAGUUUUUGUGAUUACUGGUUGUAGCUUUUGUGAUUGCCGGUUGCAACAAAAACAACUUCUGGUUUCAGCUCAUGUCGGUACUUCCAACAAAACUCUUGUUUGCCACCCUCCGCGGUUGCAACAUCUUUUCUACACAGUUGUAGCACUGACUUUGUUGGUUCCAGCAAAUCUCACUUCGCAAAAAUCCGCCGCCUUUCGUUUCCAGCUUUUUUAUUCGUCGGUUCCAGCUUUUUAUUGCGUGGGUUGCAGCGCUUUUCUCAGCCGGAUGCAACACAUUGUAGCAGAGUAGAAUUUAAUGUGGCUGGAGGUAGAAAAACGUACUAACAAAUAAGGUAAGAGAUAACUAAGGGAGAAAAGAAGGGCAGUCGCGCGGGCCCAUAGCAUGAGACGUGGGGGAGCAGUUUGCUAAGGGCGUGUUUGAUUGCCUGCAUAGAGCCCAAUCAGGCCCGCGCGGGAAGCAAGAGGCCUGUUUGGUUGCCUGGUUUCACUGUUGGGCCGGCAUCGCACGCUUCUUAAAGCAGCCCAGAGCCUGGCUCGCUGGAAACGCUCGAAUCGGUAGUUUCUCACGAGCCAGACCGAGCCGAGCGCAAGACAGUGGGCCCUUGCAUGAGUGGAGACGGGAGGGAUGCGAGGUGAUUACGUGAGGUCUUCUUCAACCUCCAGUAAGCUCAUAUCUAAUCUCCUCCAUCUGAUCUACACAACAGUGUUUCGGUUCAAGGUAAGCUCUACACGAAAAGGAUGCACCUCGAUAUUACGGUUCCAUUCAGGCGAUCGGUUCGUAGUUUCGUCGGUCGUAAGUUCUUCACUUCGUCUUUCCGUUUGGAGCUAUUCUGGACGAAUUUUGUCAGAUUCGUCGUGCACGAUCGAUCAUUUGAAAUUUCCUUUGACCAACAGCCUAAUCUCGCAGUUCCUCACAACAUUCGUGUUGUAAGUUUUUGGUUUCGAUGAUCGUAGCUUCAUCUCUCUUUGAAUAGCAGUCUACUGCACUGACGCCGCCAUGUCGAGCUCCUCUGUCCUCUGCUCAAAGCCCUCAUGUUCGUCCCUCUCGACGCCGACGCCCUUCCCCUUGAUCUCCUUGCCCGCAUCCUACUACACUAGAGUCGUUUCCGGCGUCGCUCAUCUCGGCCUACUCUCUGUCGUCCUCCUACUGCACUAACGCUGCAAUGGCGCACACACUACAGUUCACCGCUCCGCCGACGGAGUCGGUCAUCUUGGCCUCCUCUCGGCCUCCUCUCUCUCGUCCCACUACACUAGAGUCGUUUCCGGCGUCGAUCAUCUCGGCCUCCUCUCUCGUCCUACCGCACAGACGAUACCAUGGCACGAGCACUGCAUUCUCCUCCCCUGUCCACUAUCUUUACGCGAGCAUCGCAACUAGUUCGUCGACGGUGUCGCUCGUCGUGCCGCCGACGGGGUCGCUCUCCCACGACUCCAAGCUCGUCAUGUCGGACACGGCGCCACAGCCACUAUCCACCGCAAUUGCCAUCGCCCGGCGCACACUGCAUUUCUUCUCCCCCUUCCUCUGCUAGCUCUUAACCAUGUAUGCUAAGUGCAAGUGCUAGCUCUUAAUCAUACCCCAUGCAGGCAACCAAACAGCAUGUAGUUGUAUGCGUCGAGACAAUGCAGGCAACCAAACAACGUGCCAAAGUUAAUCCCGUAAUGUAGGAAAUCCAUAUGCAGGCAACCAAAUAACUUGCAGAUGUCGCAUAUGAGGCUGUUUUUCCAGAGCUAGACUAGGUUGAGAUGUGUAUGCAACACAGAUACUAUUCACUACUGCAACCAAACACACCCUAAGACUGCGCCAGCGUGGGAUAAAAGCUAGCGUGGUGCGCGUGUAGUGCCCGUGAGCGAACACGGCCGGCCAAAAGGUGCGCCGAGCUAGCGUGGUGUGCGCGUAGUGCGCGUGAGCGAACGUGGCCGGCUGAAAGUUGCGCCGUCGCGCCGUAUAUAAACGUUCCCCAUACAUUAAUACAUUAUACACAUUGGCAUUCUCAAAUCAACUAUGAGUAGCAAUUUGAAUUGUAUCAAUAGACCAAGAGCAUGAAGAGCUUUUACCAGAGAAAAAAAGAGCAUACAGGAGAUACAGCUAACUUGCAGUAUAUACGAGAAUAAAGGACAAGGCCAUUCAUCAACUCAUAUCCUCAUCAGAAGAUUCACUCCCCCCAUUGUUGGAUCGAAUUCAUCAGAGUCACUGUCCUCAUAAUAGAAGGGAGGUUGUAUAUCUUCCCUAGCCAUAUCGUAUAUCCCUUUUAAUGCCUCAAUACACCCAUUCCUUGCUUCUCACAUGCAUAACAUUCACCUGCCAAAGUAAAUCACAAUGUUAGAAUCUUUCUAGGUCACUACAAGUCAUAAGGUGAAAAUUUUCCAUACCAUAUCGAUCUUGCUCCAAAGGAUAACAGGCAUAUAGUUUCAUCAUACAUAUUGAUUUGACCUCGGCAAAGUACAUCGCCGAUGUCCAAUCAGCUGAGCCAGGCUUCUUUACCUUGACAGUAAAGUUAAAGUGAUGAAAUAUCUUUAAAUAAUUCUCCACACUAAAACAUUGAUGGACAAGCUCGUCAAAUUCAUAAUCAACUCCCUAAGAUGAAACAAGUGUUAGUCAUACUCCUCUAUAGUCCCAACAAUUAAAAAGAUUUUAGGGCAGGCGUGGAGAACCUUAAGAUCAUCUUUGCUCUCGAUGUAUCUUUUGAAAGCCACCAUCGCCUCCUCGCUCAUCCAUCGUUUCGCAUUUGCAGCAAUUUCUUCUUUCUUAGAAGCAUAGGUAUGUUGUCCUCGUGCUUGGACUGAUUGGGUUUGUUUUUCAACUUGCAUGUCUGAAUAUUCUCUAAUAGUUUCAAAGUCGAGUGGCCAAUAUUCUUGUGCUUGGAAAAAUUGAGCUUGUUCUUCAUCUUGUCUCAUCUCAAAUUCUAUAUCACCUUCAUGGUCAAGUGGAUAAAAUUCUCCAAUUAUCCCCUGCCUGGAUAGAAAUAUCAGAAUUCGGUCAGCAAAACAUGGUUCAUAAUGUGACCUAGAUAGAUAUACAAGACAACAUGGGACAAGAUGCAAUAAACUGAUUCUCAAUUUAAUUAAACUUGCAUUAAUAAACAAAGCACUCUUUGCUUAGAUAUAGGAGAGAAGUCUUGUAAUAAACCUUGCUUUAUUCACUUUGAACCUUGGGUUUUUAUCAUUUAUGCCACCGAUUGUGUCCCACUACUCAGUUUUGCCACUAGGAAUUCUAACUGCUCGAAAAUGACAUCGCUUCAUUAGACACAUGCUCAAAAAUGUCACUGGACAUCAUCAUUGUGAUCUCAAAUCUCUUUUGCCAUGUUUUAAUGACAUAAAUACCUAUGAACCAACAUGCAAGCUCUCCCUCUGUCUCACUACAUUAAAGUAUGGGGCCCACUUGAUCCCAACAAUGUUCUUAUUUUCUUGUAAAAUUAUUCGCUUGAUUACUCCUGAAAAGUGGGACCACACUUGGGAUAGAGAGAACUGACAUGUGGGUUUAGGCUUAUUUUUGUCAUAUAAGAUGGUCAACGGUUUUGAUGUGAAAAUAACAAUGUCUAAUGGCAUUUUUGAGCAAACAUCUAACGGAACGAUGGCAUUUUUGAGAUAUCUAAUGGCAUUUUUGAGCAAGCAUCUCACAGAUCGAUGGCAUUUUUGAGAAGUUGUAACUUCUAAUGGCAAAACUGAGUAGUGGGACACAACUAGUGGCAUAAAUGAUAAAAACCCGAGAACCUUUGAUUAUAGUAUUCUUGUAUGAAUAUAAUACAAGUUCACUACGCGGGGUUCACUAACCAGGUUCUAGAAACAUUUACAUCCAUGCUUUAGUCAAUGUCAAACAAUUUACUACCCAUUAGUGCAACCAUAUGGGUCAUAAAAAGUACCCAACAUUUCAACAAAACAAUUAUUAACUUACGAAAAGGAAGGACAAAAUAAAUAUGGACAUACUCGUCAGUUGAUUCAAGUGUGUGAGGUGUGUCGUUCAGCGUGAGGGUCUCAAACUUAGACAGAUCCUUGCUUCCACCCCCAAGCUCAAUGCUGCUCACCUCCUCGACAUGCUCCAGGGCCCUGAUCAAAACAAGCACGAUGAUGUGUGAGUGAUUGUUACGGUGAAGAUGGUGGAAAUAUAGCUAGGGACAUUGAUUCAGAAGAAAAAAAAACUACAGUCAUUGUAUGUAUGUCAAAAUAAACAACUACUAGUAGUACCAAACUGCUUCACCGCCAACAAUAGUUUUUUGACAGAGAUCCAUGUCCGUGAUUUUGACAAAAGAGGAAGAGCCUCCAAGGAGCCGAUACGAUCAGCACGAACCUGGGACCGAGGCUGUGUCUCAACGUUGAUUGUGCUAGUUCACAAACUAAAAGAAAACAAACAAUGGCAGGGAGGUGAAGGCGAGAAAAUCUCACCGAGUUUCACUUUCACUCGAACAGGACGCCAGAGAGCCGGCGGGAGGUGAAGGGAAUCCGUCGCCGGCCAUCGCGAUGAGCCGGCGGAGGACAACCUAGGAGAAAGGAGUUUGGGUCUCUCCCGCAAUUUAGGCGAUGAACACUUUUUAUUUUGUUUUCUAACUAGGGAGGAGGAGACCCUCCUAUUCCAUGCUUUAACGCCCGGAACAGACUAAAGUUGAUUGUAAUGAGGAGUAUUAUACACUAGUAUCAUGCAUAUCAUACUAAUCUAUAAUACUGCAUCCCUAAUACAUAGUAUCAUAUGUUGGUAUCAUAGAGGACUACAUUUAUUGCUAUGCAUGACACAAAAUAGCACAUCAUUUAAUAUGAUACGGUAUCAUGAUAUGAUACUCAAGCCUCUAUUUCUUCAUUUAAUUCCAUGCCACCUCAUUAAAAUUGCUUAGUUGGCAUGCAUAAUACUACCUAUAAUACUUCCAUUACGGGCAGCCUAAGAAACAUGUUCCUCAGCCUAGCGACUGGUGUUGGGCUUAAAUCUCUGCCCCACCUCGGUUUUCUUUGUUCGCUGGACUGUCUAGUGUGUGUGCAAAAAAAAGAAUUUCUUGGGUUUUUUUAAUACGGUAUAGACGCAGACGCCUAUACAUACACGCAGAUACUUACCUCUAUGACCUCACACACGCACACUACCCUAUGAACACCUCUGAGUGACUGAACUGGCACAUUCUUUUGAGAUUAGUCGUCAUAAACGCCAUAGUUGACAGAAAGCUCUCCUCGCACUUACACACAUCACAUCACCGGAAGUCCUGAAAUAAAUCAGAAAUAUGAACUUGUACGGUAAAAGCAGUUGAAAUAACAUAUCUUUUUUCGUAAAUAAGGGCAUCUCCAACGGCAACCCGCAAAUUUUCUCCCGCGGACACGGAUGCGGGAGCCAGCCAUCCAACUGUAGCCGCAUAUAUUUUCACAACAACUUGAACCAACCGAACGAAAUUCAUUCAAACAAGUCCGGAUUUCAUAUAAACACGCCGGAUUUCAUAUAAACAUGAUGGAUUUCACUACAAAUACAUCAAAGCGGUGCUAGGCGGGCUCUGGAGUAUAAUUAAUCUAAAUGAUCGCCGGCAUCUGGUCCUCGUGUCCGACCAUCAGCCCCGAGAACUGAAGUUUCACUGUCUCGAGUUCCGCCUCGGCGCUCUCUAGCUCCGCCUCCGGAGCCUCGAAACUGAAGUUGUCUGCCUCCACGUCGCCGCCAAGCGACUAAUUGGCCAAGAUGCUCAGUCCACCAAGCUUGGCCUCGACGGGAGGGGAGGAGCGGUGGCCUUCCUGGGACACGAGCGGCGGUGACCUACUGCGCACUACUCUUCCUCACCGCCGGCGGCACCCAUGGACGUGGGGCCGGGGCGGGGCCUCCUCGUCGUCCGUGUCUCCGAACAACGCCUCGCCCGCUUCGUCGUCGCACUCCUUGUUGGCCGCUACUCGCUGCCGGUACCGCCAAUGGGCGAGGCAGAUCUUGCGGGUAGAGCGGUAGGACUCGAGCACCGCCUCCUACUCCACCAGGUCCGCGUCCGGCGCGACCGCCCUGCUGGCGGUGACCUGCUCCCCCGCAUGCAUAUGCUCAUGGAGGAGGUUGUGGUUGUAGUUGGCGUAGGCAUGCGCCUGCCGGAACUGGUCUUCCCGCUCCUCUCGCACCAUGUCCAUAUGACGGGCACGGGCCUCGCCGAUGGUCAUGAUGCAAUGCACUGGCGAGGGUGGAGCGUAGGGGGAGGGUGCCGCAAAGGAAGAGGAGGGUGGCACUGGCUCAUCGGAGGAGGUGUCCUCCAUUUGCACGUCAUCAGAGGAGGCGUCCUCUGGCUACCUGUCAGCCUGCCAGUUGGCAGCAAUUGCGGCCAUGGCCUUCUUCUGCUUCGACAUCAGCCCGUCCCAGAGAGCUUUGGCUACAGAGGGAUCCAUGGCGAGGAGUGAUGCAGAGAGGGAUGACUGCGGCUAUGGCCGGGGCACCGGGGCAGCGGUUUAUAUAGCACUGGUGGGUGACAGAGGGACAGACGGGUGGCGCCGGAGGAAGCGCCUUGAUAUGUCCAUUUUGCAUCAUGCUUUUAUAUCGAUAUUUAUUGCAUUAUGGGCUGUUAUUACACAUUAUGUCACAAUACUUAUGCCUAUUCUCUUUUAUUUUACAAGGUUUACAUAAAGCGGGAGAAUGUCGGCAGCUAGGAUUCUGGGCUGGAAAAGGAGCAAAUAUUAGAGACCUAUUCUGCACAGCUCCAAAAGUCCUGAAACUUCACGGAAGACGUUUUCGGAAUAUAUAAAAAAUACUCAGUGGAAGAAGUUCACCAGGGGGCCACACCCUGCCCACGAGGGUGGGGGCGCGCCCUACCCCCUGGGCGCGCCCCCUACCUCGUGGGCCCCCUGGUGGCCCUCUGGUGGCCAUCUUCUGCUAUAUGAAGUCUUUCAAUGGAAAAAAAUCAUAAGCCAUCUUCUCGGACGAAACUCCGCCGCCACGAGGCGGAACCUUGGCAGAACCAAUCUAGGGCUCUGGCAGAGCUAUUCUGCCGGGGAAACUUCCCUCCGGGAGGGGGAAAUCAUCGCCAUCAUCAUCACCAAUGCUCCUCUCAAAACUCUAGUUCAUCUCUUGUAUCCAAUUCUUGUCUCCAAGUCCGGGAUUGGUGCUAGUAGGUUGCUAGUAGUGUUAAUUACUCCGUGUAGUUGAUGCUAGUUGGUUUAAUUGGUGGAAGAUCAUAUGUUCAUAUCCUAUAAGCAUAUUAAUACCCCUCUGAUUAUGAACAUGUUCAUGCUUUAUGAGUAGUUACGUUUGUUCUUGAGGACAUGGGAGAAGUCUUGCUAUUAGUAGUCAUGUGAAUUUGGUAUUCGUUCGAUAUUUUGAUGAGAUGUAUGUUGUCUCUCUUCUAGUGGUGUUAUGUGAACAUCGACUACAUAACACUUCACCAUUAUUUGGGCCUAGAGGAAGGCAUUGGGAAGUAAUAAGUAGAUGAUGGGUUGCUAGAGUGACAGAAGCUUAAACCCUAGUUUAUGCGUUGCUUCGUAAGGGGCUGAUUUGGAUCCAUAUAUUUCAUGCUAUGGUUAGGUUUACCUUAAUACUUUUGUUGUAUUUGCGAAUGCUUGCAAUAGAGGUUAAUCAUAAGUGGGAUGCUUGUCCAAGUAAGGACAGUACCCAAGCACCGGUCCACCCACAUACCAAAUUAUCAAAGUACCGAACGUGAAUCAUAUGAGCGUGAUGAAAACUAGCUUGAUGAUAUUCCCAUGUGUCCUCGGGAGUGCUUUUCUCUAUAUAAGAGUUUGUCCAGACUUGUCCUUUGCUACAAAAAGGAUUGGGCCACCUUGCUGCACUUUAUUUACUUUUUUUACUUGUUGCUCGUUACAAAUUAUCCUAUCACAAAACUAUCUGUUACCACUUAUUUCAAUACUUGCAGAGAAUACCUUGCUGGAAACCGCUUAUCAUUGCCUUCUGCUCCUUGUUGGGUUCGACACUCUUACUUAUUGAAAGGACUACGAUAGAUCCCCUAUACUUGUGGGUCAUCAAGACUCUUUUCUGGCGCCGUUGCUGGGGAGUGAAGCGCCUUUGGUAGGUGGAAUUUGGUAAGGAAAAAAUUAUAUAGUGUGCUGAAAUUUACUGUCACUUAUUACUAUGGAAAGUAAUCCUCUGAGGGCUUGUUCGGGGUAUCUUCACCCCGACCAGUAGAGCAAAGAGUUGCUCCUCAACCUGCUGAACCUACUGAAAAUGAAAAUGUCUGCUUUGAAAUUCCUUCGGGUAUGAUAGAAAAACUACUAGCUAAUCCUUUUGUAGGAGAUGAAACAAAGCAUCCUGAUGAGCAUCUAAUAUAUGUGGAUAAAGUUUGUGGAUUAUUUAAGCUUGCAGGUGUAGCCGAAGAUGUUGUUAAGAAGAAGGUCUUCCCUUUAUCUUCGAAGGGGGAUGCAUCGAUAUGGUAUAGGCUAUGUGAUGAUAUGGGGUCGUGGAACUACAAACGAUUGAAAUUGGAAUUUCAUCAGAAUUUUUAUCCUAUGCAUCUUGUUCAUCGUGAUCGCAAUUAUAUAUAUAUAACUUUUGGCCUCGCGAAGGAGAAAGUAUCGCUCAAUCUUGGGGGAGGCUUAAAUCAAUGUUAUAUUCAUGCCCCAAUCAUGAGCUCUCAAGAGAAAUGAUUAUUCAAAAAAAUUAUGCUCGGCUUUCUGAUAGUAAUCGCACCAUGCUUGAUACUUCUUGUGUUGGCUCUUUUAUGAUGAAGACUAUUGAAUUCAAAUGGGAUUUAUUGGAAAGAAUUAAACGCAACUCUGAAGAUUGGGACCUCGACAAAGGUAAGGAGUCAGGUAUGACACCUAGGUAUGAUUGUGUUAAAUCUUUUAUGAAUACCGAUGUUUUCCGUAAAUUUAGCACUAAAUAUGGACUUGACUCUGAGAUAAUAGCUUCUUUCUAUGAAUAUUUUGCUACUCAUGUUGAUCUCCCCAAGGAGAAGUGGUUUACAUAUCAUCCUCCCAUAGAAGUAAAAGUAGCUGCACCUAUUAAAGUUGAAGAAAAGAUUGUCACUUAUAAUAAUCCAAUUGUUCCUACUUCUUAUGUUGAGAAACCACCUUUCCCUGUCAGGAUAAAGGAUCAUGCUAAAGCUUCAACGGUGGUUCGUAAAAGCAAUAUUAAAACUUAUACACCUCCUGAGCAAAUUAAAGUGGAACCUAAUACUGAUAUUGUUAAAGAUCUCUUGUUUGAUAAUAUUGAUGGGCAUGUUAUUUAUUUCUGUGAUGAAACUGCUAGAAUUGCUAAACCUUGUGCUAAAAAUAAACCUAGACCUAUGGUGGGCAUGCCUGUUAUUUCUGUUAAAAUAGGAGAUCAUGGCUUAUCAUGGCUUAUGUGAUAUGGGUGCCAGUGCUAGUGCAAUACCUAUUAGCCUAUAUAGAGAAAUCAUGCAUGAUAUUGCACCUGUUGAGUUAGAAUAUAUUGAUGUCACAAUUAAACUUGCCAAUAGAGAUACUAUUUCAUCAAUGGGAAUUGUUAGAGAUGUUGAAGUCUUGUGUGGGAAAACUAAAUAUCCUGCUGAUUUUCUUGUUCUUGGUUUCCCACGAGAUAGCUUUUGUCCCAUUAUAUUUGGUAGACCCUUCUUGAACACUGUUAAUGCUACCAUAGAUUGCAAAAGGGAUGUUGUUACUAUCGGUUUAGAUGAUAUGACUCAUGAAUUUAAUUUCUCUAAAUUUAGUAGACAACACCGUGAAGAAGAAUUACCUAGUAAGGAUGAAAUUAUUGGUCUUGCUUCUAUUGCCGUACCUCCUAGUGAUCCUUUAGAACAAUAUUUGCUAGACCAUGAAAAUGAUAUGUUUAUGAAUGAAAGAAGGGAAAUAGAUGAAGUAUUCUUUAAACAGGAACCUAUUCUGAAACACAAUUUACCUAUUGAAAUCCUAGGGGAUCCUCCUCCACCCAAGGGUGAUCCCGUGUUUGAGCUUAAACCGUUGCCUGAUACUCUUAAAUAUGCUUAUCUUGAUGAGAAAAAGAUAUAUCCUAUUAUUAUUAGUGCUAACCUUUCAGAGCAUGAGGAAGAGAGAUUAUUGAAAACUCUGAAGAAGCACUGUGCUGCUAUUGGGUAUACUCUUGAUGAUCUUAAGGGCAUUAGUCCCACUCUAUGUCAACAUAAGAUAAAUUUGGAAGAAUAUGCUAAACCAGUUCGUGAUCAUCAACGACUGCUGAAUCCUAAAAUGAAAGAAGUGGUAAGAAAGGAAAUACUAAAGCUCCUUGAGGCAGGUAUAAUCUAUCCCGUUGUUGAUAGUCAGUGGGUAAGUCAUGUCCAUUGUGUCCCUAAGAAGGGAGGUAUUACUGUCUUUCCUAAUGAUAAAGAUGAAUUGAUUUCUCAAAGAAUUAUUACAGGUUAUAGGAUGGUAAUUGAUUUCCGCAAAUUAAAUAAGGCCGCUAAAAAGGAUCAUUACCCCUUACCUUUUAUCGAUCAAAUGCUAGAAAGAUUAUCCAAACAUACACAUUUUUGCUUUCUAGAUGGUUAUUCUGGUUUCUCUCAAAUACCUGUGUCAGCCGAAGAUCAAUCAAAGACUACUUUUACUUGCCCUUUUGGUACUUUUGCUUAUAAACGUAUGCCUUUUGGUUUAUGUAAUGCACCUGCUACCUUUCAAAGAUGCAUGAUGGAUAUAUUCUCUGACUUUUGUGAAAAGAUUUGUGAGGUUUUCAUGGACGAUUUCUCCGUCUAUGGAUCUUCUUUUGAUGAUUGCUUGAGCAACCUUGAUCGAGUUUUGCAGAGAUGUGAAGAAACUAAUCUUGCCUUGAAUUGGGAAAAGUGCCACUUUAUGGUUAAUGAAGGUAUUGUCUUGGGGCACAAAGUUUCUGAAAGAGGUAUUGAGGUUGAUAAAGCCAAGGUUGAUGCUAUUGAGAAGAUGUCAUGUCCCAAGGACAUCAAAGGUAUAAGAAGUUUCCUUGGUCAUGCCGGAUUUUAUAGGAGGUUCAUUAAGGACUUCUCAAAAAUUUCUCGACCUCUGACUAAUUUAUUACAAAAAGAUAUACCAUUUGUCUUUGAUGAUGAUUGUGUAGAAGCAUUUGAAAUACUUAAGAAAGCAUUGAUCUCUGCACCUAUUGUUCAGCCACCUGAUUGGAAUUUACCCUUUGAAAUUAUGUGUGAUGCUAAUGAUUAUGUUGUAGGUGUUGUUCUAGGGCAAAGAGUUGAUAAGAAAUUAAAUGUUAUUCAAUAUGCUAGUAAAACCCUAGACAAUGCUCAAAGAAAUUAUGCUACUACUGAAAAAGAAUUCUUAGCAGUUGUAUUUGCUUGUGAUAAGUUCAGACCUUAUAUUGUUGAUUCUAAAAUAACUAUUCACACUGAUCAUGCUGCUAUUAAAUAUCUUAUGGAAAAGAAAGAUGCUAAACCUAGACUUAUUAGAUGGGUUCUCUUGCUACAAGAAUUUGACUUACAUAUUGUUGAUAGAAAGGGAGCUGAGAACCCCGUUGCAGACAACUUGUCUAGGUUAGAAAAUGUGCUUGAUGACCCACUUCCUAUUGAUGAUAGCUUUCCAGAUGAGCAAUUAAAUAUCAUAAAUGCUUCUCAUACUGCUCCAUGGUAUGCUGAUUAUGCUAAUUACAUUGUUGCUAAGUUUAUACCACCUAGUUUCACAUACCAGCAAAAGAGAAAGUUCUUCUAUGAUUUGAGGCAUUACUUUUGGGAUGACCCACAUCUUUAUAAAGAAGGAGUAGAUGGUGUUAUUAAACGUUGUGUACCUGAGCAUGAACAGGAACAGAUCCUACGCAAGUGUCACUCCGAAGCUUAUGGAGGACACCAUGCUAGAGAUAGAACUGCACAUAAGGUAUUGCAAUCUGGUUUUUAUUGGCCUACUCUCUUCAAGGAUGCCCGUAAGUUUGUCUUAUCUUGUGAUGAAUGUCAAAGAAUUGGUAAUAUUAGUAGACGUCAAGAAAUGCCUAUGAACUAUUCACUCGUUAUUGAACCAUUUGAUGUUUGGGGCUUUGACUAUAUGGGACCUUUUCCUUCCUCUAAUGAUAUACACAUAUUUUAGUUGCUGUUGAUUACGUUACUAAGUGGGUAGAAGCUAUUCCAACUAGUAGUGCUGAUCAUAACACUUCUAUUAGAAUGCUUAAAGAAGUUAUUUUUCCAAGAUUUGGAGUCCCUAGAUAUUUAAUGACUGAUGGUGGUUCACAUUUUAUUCAUGGUGCCUUCCGUAGAAUGCUUGCUAAGUAUGAUGUUAAUCAUAGAAUUGCAUCCCCUUAUCACCCUCAGUUUAGUGGUCAAGUAGAAUUGAGUAAUAGAGAGCUCAAAUUAAUUUUGCAAAAGACUGUUAAUAGAUCUAGAAAGAAUUGGUCCAAGAAACUUGAUGAUGCAUUAUGGGCAUAUAGAACUGCAUAUAAAAAUCCUAUGGGUAUGUCUCCGUAUAAAAUGGUUUAUGGAAAAGCAUGUCACUUACCUCUCGAACUAGAACACAAGGCAUAUUAGGCUAUUAAAGAGCUCAACUAUGAUUUUAAACUUGUUGGUAAGAAGAGGUUAUUUGAUAUUAGCUCACUCGAUGAAUGGAGAACCCAAGCCUACAAAAAUGCCAAGUUGUUUAAAGAAAAAGUUAAAAGAUGGCAUGAUAAAAGGAUACAAAAGCGCGAGUUUAAUGUAGGUGAUUAUGUAUUGCUAUACAACUCUCAUUUAAGAUUUUUUGCAGGAAAACUUCUCUCUAAAUGGGAAGGUCCUUACGUUAUCGAGGAGGUCUAUCGUUCCAGUGCCAUAAAAAUCAACAACUUCGAAGGCACAAAUCCGAAGGUGGUGAACGGUCAAAGAAUCAAACAUUAUAUCUCAGGUAAUCCCAUAAAUGUUGAAACCAAUGUUAUUAAAACCGUAACCCUGGAGGAAUACAUAAGGGGCACUUUCCGGAACGUUUCAGACUCCAAAAAGGAAUAGGUAUGUGGUACAGUAAGUAGACUGACUCCAAAACAGUUUUUAAGGCAAUAUUUCUCUGUUUUGGAAUAUUUAGAAAAAUAGAUAAAUAAGAAGUAGUCCGGGAAGGACACGAGGCCUCCACGAGGGUGGAGGGUGCGCCCUACCCCCCUGGGCGCGCCCCCCUACCUCGUGGGCACCUCGUCGCUCUCCGGACUCCGUUUUCUUACACGACACAUAUUUUGGUCAGUAAAAAUUCAUUAUAUAAUCGCCCGGGGGUUUUGACUCCCAUAUCACACAAUUAUCCUCUGUUUGUGUUUCGAGUUAUUUCUGCUGCAGAUUAGAGCAAGAUGUCUUCGCAAGAGUCAGUGGGGAGAGCCGGGUGUCUCAUCCGGCACCGAGAUCAAUGACAAACAACAAUGUUGACCUCUUUGGGCCAGCAACGGAGAAAGAUAUGGAGGUUGAAUUGAAGAGGAUAGAUGCCAUGGAAGAGGACCAAGAAGUCACUUCCCACUUCCGAGCUGGAUUCACAAUGGGAGAACUUCAGAGCUCGGCUAUUCCAAAUUCGGUUAUCACUUCCAAUGUUAGAUUUCUUUCUUAUGAGAAUAUGAAAAAGAGUGUCACUGGUUCUCCCGCAGCUAUGCAGCACCCUUGGGUGCAGGGAGCUUUGGCUGUUACAGGAAAAUUCCGAAAGGAAAUAAUGGACCUCAAGCAGCAAGUCAAUAAGCUCGAGGAGGAGAAUCGUAUCCUAAGGGGCAUCAUCGCCAAGAAUGUCACAUCACCAUCUCCGAAAAGAGAGACAUAAUCACAUGGGUAUGGGCACUCCCCUUGGCAACUGCCAAGCUUGGGGGAGUGCCCCGGUAUCGUAUCACCAUCACUUUUAUCUUUACCAUUUUCCUUAGUUCGAUCCUUUUGGUAAUAUCUUGAUCUAGUAGAAUAAAAGUUCUUAAUAUGAUCUAGUUGUGAGUUUUGCUUUAUAAUUCCUCUAUGUAAUCGAGUCCGUGACCGUGAGCUAUAUAUAAUAAAGAUUAGUGUUGAGUCAAGGGCUUGAUUAUUUUACCAUGAUCCUAAGUGAAUAAAAGAAAAGAUAAAGAAAUAAAAAGAAACAAAGAGAUCAUGUGAGUCUUAUGAAGAGUAAUGAGCUCACAUAGAAAAAGUAUGAUGAAUAAAAGUUGUUGAGAGUUGACAAGCAUAGUUUUGGUCAUCGUUGCAAUUAAUAGGAAGUAAUAAAGAAAGAGAGAUCUUCACAUAUAAAUAUACUAUCUUGGACAUCUUCUAUGAUUAUGAGCACUCAUUAAAAUAUGACAUGCUAAAGAGUUGACGUUGGACAAGAAAGACAACGUAAUGGGUUAUGUUUUCUUACAUCUGAGAUAAACUAUAUUGUCAUGGAUCAUCCAACAUGGUUGAGCUUGCCUUUCCCCCUCAUGCUAGCCAAAUUCAUCGCACCAAGUAGAGAUACUACUUGUGCUUCUAAAUACCCUUAAAACCAGUUUUGCCAUGAGAGUCCACAAUACCUACCUAUGGAUUAAGUAAGAUCCUCCAAGUAAAUUGUCAUCGGUGCAAGCAAUAAAAAUUGCUCUCUAAAUAUGUAUGACCUAUUAGUGUGGGAGAAAAUAAGCUUUUUACGAUCGUGUGAUAUGGAAGAAAUAAAAGCGACAGACUGUAUAAUAAAGGUCCAUAUCACAAGUGGCAAUAUAAAGUGACGUUCUUUUGCAUUAAGAUUUUGUGCAUCCAACUAGAAAAGCGCAUGACAACCUCUGCUUCCCUCUGCGAAGGGCCUAUCUUUUACUUUUAUCUCCUACCUUGCAUAAGAGUUAUGGUGAUCUUCAUCCUUCCUUUUUACAUUUCAUCCUUUGGCAAGCACAGUAUGUUGGAAAGAUCCUGGUAUAUAUGGCUAAUUGGAUGUGAGUUUCCAUGAACUAUUAUUGUUGAUAUUACCCUUGAGGUAAAACGUUGGGAGGCAAAACUAUAAGCCCCUAUCUUUCUCUGUGUCCGAUUAAAACUCCAUACCCAUGAGUAUUGCGUGAGUGUCAGCAAUUGUGAAAGACUAUAUGAUAGUUGAGUAUGUGGACUUGUGGAAAACCUUUUAUACAUUGACUCUUUUCUAUGUUAUGAUAAAUUGUAAUUGCUCCAAUGAUUGAGAUUAUAGUUUGUUAGUUUUUAAUAAAGUUUACGAUUCAUACUUGAAAUUGUGAUUGAAUUAUUACUCUAGCAUAAGAAAUCAUAUGACAAGAAUUAUAUAAGUUGUUGUUCUAAGAAUGAUCAUGAUGCCCUCAUGUCCGUAUUUUAUUUUUAUUGACACCUUUAUCUCUAAACAUAUGGACAUAUUUUUCGAUUUCGGCUUUCGCUUGAGGACAAGCGAGGUCUAAGCUUGGGGGAGUUGAUACGUGCAUCAUGCUUUUAUAUCGAUAUUUAUUGCAUUAUGGUUUGUUAUUACACAUUCUGUCACAAUACUUAUGCAUAUUCUCUUUUAUUUUACAAGGUUUACAUAAAGAAGGAGAAUGCCGGCAGCUGGGAUUCUGGGCUGGAAAAUGAGCAAAUAUUAGAGACCUAUUCUGCACAGCUCCAAAAGUCCUGAAACUUCACGGAAGAUGUUUUUGGAAUAUAUAAAAAAUACUUAGCGGAAGAAGUUCACCAGGGGGGCACACCCUACCCACGAGGGUGGGGGGUGCGCCCUACCCCCUGGGCACGCCCCCUACCUCGUGGGCCUCCUGGUGGCCCUCCGGUGGCCAUCUUCUGCUAUAUGAAGUCUUUCGAUGGUAAAAAAUUAUAAGCCAUCUUCUCGGACGAAACUCCGCCUCCACGAGGCGGAACCUUGGCGGAACCAAUCUAGGGCUCUGGCAGAGCUGUUCUGCCAGGGAAACUUCCCUCCGGGAGGGGGAAAUCAUCGCCAUCAUCAUCACCAACACUCCUCUCAUCAGAAGAGGGCAAUCUCCAUCAACAUCUUCAUCAGCACCAUCUCCUCUCAAAACCCUAGUUCAUCUCUUGUAUCCAAUUCUUGUCUCCAAGUCCGGGAUUGGUGCUAGUAGGUUGCUAUUAGUGUUAGUUACUCCAUGUAAUUGAUGCUAGUUGGUUUAAUUGGUGGAAGAUCAUAUGUUCAGAUCCUAUAUGCAUAUUAAUACCCCUCUGAUUAUGAACAUGUUUAUACUUUGUGAGUAGUUACGUUUGUUCCUGAGGACAUGGGAGAAGUCUUGCUAUUAGUAGUCAUGUGAAUUUGGUAUUCGUUCGAUAUUUUGAUGAGAUGUAUGUUGUCUCUUCUCUAGUGGUGUUAUGUGAACGUCGACUACAUAACACCAUCAUUAUUUGGGCCUAGAGGAAGGCAUUGGGAAGUAAUAAGUAGAUGAUGGGUUGCUAGAGUGACAGAAGUUUAAACCCUAGUUUAUGUGUUGCUUUGUAAGGGGCUGAUUUGGAUCCAUAUGUUUCAUACUAUGGUUAGGUUUACCUUAAUACUUUUAUUGUAGUUGCGGAUGCUUGCAAUAGAGAUUAAUUAUAAGUGGGAUACUUGUCCAAGUAAGGACAAUACCCAAGCACCGGUCCACCCACAUACCAAAUUAUCAAAGUACCAAACGCGGAUCAUAUGAGCGUGGUGAAAUUAGCUUGACGAUAUUCUCAUGUGUCAUCGGGAGCGCUUUUCUCUAUAUAAGAGUUUGUCCAGGCUUGUCCUUUGCUACAAAAAGGAUUAGUUCACCUUGCUGCACUUUAUUUACUUUUGUUACUUGUUGCUCGUUAUAAAUUAUCCUAUCACAAAACUAUCUGUUACCACUUAUUUCAGUACUUGCAGAGAAUACCUUGCUGGAAACCGCUUAUCAUUUCCUUCUGCUCCUCGUUGGGUUCGACACUCUUACUUAUUGAAAGGACUACGAUAGAUCCCCUAUACUUGUGGGUCAUCACGCCUUGGCAACUGCGUGCCAUCAAUGCAGGCGGUAGAUGGGCGACUGUCGUGUCGUUUGAACGCGCGACAGUCACCUACACGAGGAAAUGAUGCAGGUGGCGCUCUCUCGACCGACGCACCGCUUCAAUGUCGGUGCCAGUGAGUGGUCGCGUCCGCUCUAGCCGAGCGUGAAUGCGGGCGCUGACGCUCUAGAGCGGCGGUGACCGAAAACGCACGAGGAGGGGGAGGGGGUUUGGGUUUUGGUGGGCCAGGGCAGUCAGAAGCGGGCUUGGAUGGGUCCGCACACCCGCAAACCUUCCCCAUUUUUGUUUUCGAUUUGUGGAAGAAAUCGCAUCCGAACCGCGUCACGGACCGAUACAUGACUGCCUUGGAUGGCUUCCGCAGUCCGGACCACGCGGCGUGGUCCGGAUGGUUGCAGGAGGUUUGCGGGUCGCGUUGGAGAUGCCCUAAGGUUCUGGAUUUAUAUUCAAAAUUUCCAACGAUAAAAGACAUAUAAGGUUCUGGAUUUAUAUUCAAAAUUUCCAACGAUAAAAGACAUAAAAAAUUAAGAAAAUUACAUUCAGUAUCUAACAAAGGCAAGCAAAACUCAAUCUCCAGCACAAAAAAUGGACCGUAAAUAACUACAGGCGCGGAACGCCCUCUGCAAUGGUAGAAUAGGAUUCUACUACUCUGGUGCAGGCUGUUAAACGGAGAAGAAUAUGACUGGCCAGGGAGAUUGACUUCUCUGCUCGUUUAAAUCUUGUCAAGUUCAAAGUAGCAGACUGUCUAGCUGCAGGUGGUGCACAACCAGGCCAUGCGGCCACUGCAAUUCUGCAAACCUGCUGGUUUGGCCGUUUGCUUUGGUGAACGGAAUGCCAAUUAUACCAAAAAAGGUAAAUAAGAACUUGCAGUUCACCAACCGUGACAGCAACAAUUUAAAGCAGAGUAAACCAGUCGCAUCAAAGAAAAUACGAGUGUGACAUUAGAACCAACAACGCAUAAUACCAGUGUUACAAACCAUUGCUGCCCUGCUACUCGAUAUUCUUCAGAUGCUGCUGGGGCUAGGAAUACAUUCAUAAAUCAACUAGGAAUCAACAGAUCAAGAGCAUACAAGAGCUACAGCUAACUUACAGUACUAGAAUAAAGGACAAGGCCAUCAUCAACUCAUAUCAUCAUCAGAAGAUAAACUCCGGACUGUUGCUGGAUCGAAUUCAUCAGAGUCACUGUCCUCAUAAUAGAAGGGAGGUUGUAUAUCUUCCCUGCCCAUAUCGUAUAUCCCUUUUAACGGGUGCCUCAGUUCACCCAUUCCUUGGUUCUCACGGGCAUAACAUUUACCUGCCAAAGUAAAUCACAAUGUUAGAAUCUUUUUAGGUCACUACAAGUCAUAAGGUGAAAAGUUUCCAUACCAUAUUGAUCUUGCCCCAAAGGAUAACAGGCAUAGAGUUUUAUCAUACAUAUCGAUUUGACCUCGGCGAAGUACAUCACCGACAUCCAAUCAGCUGAGCCAAGCUUCUUUAUCUUGACAGUAAAGUUGAAGUGAUGGAAUAUCUUUAAAUAAUCCUCCACAUUAAGACAUUGAUGGACAAGCUCGUCAAAUUCAUAAUCAAGUCCCUAAGAUGAAACAAGUGUUAGUCAUAGUUCUCUACAGUCCCAACAAUAAAAAGCAUUUUAGAGCAGACAUGGAGAACCUUAAGAUCAUCUUUGCUCUCAAUGUAUCUUGUGAAAGCCACCAUCGCCUCCUCGCUCAUCCAUCGUUUCGCAUUUGCAGCAAUUUCUUCUUCCUUAGAAGCGUAAGUAUGUUGUCCCCGUGCUUGGACUGAUUGAGUUUGUUUUCCAACUUUCAUGUCUGCAUAUUCUCUGUUAGUUUCAAAGUCGAGUGGCCAAUAUCCUUGUGCUUGGAAAAAUUGAGCUCGCUCUUCAGCUUGUCUUCUCUCAAUAUUUAUAUCACCUUGAUGGUCGAGUGGAUAAAAUCCUCCAAAUAUUUCCUGCCUAGACAGAAAUAUAAGAAUCCGGUCAGCAAUACAUGGUUAAUAAUGUAAUCUAGAUAGAUAUACAAGAAAGUUCGUGUAGUGAUACAACAUGGGACAAGAUGCAAUAAACUGAUUCUCAAUUUAAUUAAACUUGCAUUAAUAGACUAUAAGCACUCUUUGCUUAGAUAUAGGAGAAAAGUCAUGUAAUAAACCUUGCUUUAUUCACUAUGAACCUUUGAUUAUAGUAUUUGUGUAUGGAUAUAAGACAGGUUCACUACGUGGGGUUCACUAACCAGGUUCUAGAAAUACGGAUGAUGUGGGGUUCACUAUGCGUAGCAACUGAGCUAAUCUGCAUUAUGACAUGCGAAAGACAAUCGCAUAGCUCCAUUUAAAGCUAUUUGUUGAGAAACAUAACAACAACAACUGUUUUCUGAAUAUCAGUAUGCAUCAUAUGAAAUUGUGAAUCGACUGUUUCAGCAUGUAUCACCACCCUAGGCCAAACAAUUUACAUCCAUGCUUUAGUCAACGUCUACUGUGACUAAAUUUGAAGCUUGAAAGUCCUAACGAAAACAGAUAUCAAUAAUCGAUCUUCAAUGCACGAGGAAAGUGUGUGUGCUGAGAAGAAGUUGUUUGAAUCAAACGAAUUAUCCACAAAUUCUUGCUACCAUUGUUUACAUAAUUCAUUUUCCAUCAUAAUCUCAUAAUCGUGGUGGCAUCCUCACCACCUCAAGGAGAAGGUAACCGAAUCUAUCAGAUAUGGAUACAUGCCACCAGUCUCAGGAGAGAACAACCAUGCUAGGGUGAGAUUGUUAUCAAACACACCCAACAAGUACCAGUGUACAACCAUAGGGGUCAUAACAAGUACUCUACCCAUUGGUGCAGCCAUACGGGUCAUAAAAAGUACCCAGCGCUUCAACAAACCAGUUAUUAGUAACUUACAAAAGGAUGAUGGACAUACCCGUCAGCUGAUUCAAGUGUGUGAGGUGUGUCAUUCAGCGUCAGGGUCUCAAACCUAGACAGAUCCUUGCUUGUAUCCCCAAGCUCACGGCUGCUCACCUCCUCCACAUGCUCGAUGAUGUGUCAGGUGACUAUUACGACGAAGAUGUAGAAACAUAGCUAGGAUUUGUUGGCAUUUUCUGUUUUUCUCAUGAGAAAGAUGGUGCAACAAAUUUAAUUUGACCAACCAAAACGAAAUUCGACCAACAGGGGCUAGCCCCUGUAGCGUAUUGAUUCAGAAGAAACAACCCAGGCACGCACAUUUGUUGGGCCCAACAAUGGAACCCGGGUGGCAGGCUGGGUGCAAAGCUGAGCGCACGCCACAACCUAGGGUGGUGAUGCAUGUUGAAACAGUCGAUUCAUAAUUUCAUAUGAUGCAUACUGAUUUUCAGAAAACACUUGUGUUGUUAUGUUUCUUUAGGUCAACACAAUAGCUUUUAUUGGAGCUAUGCGAUCGUAUUUCGCAGGUUAUAAUGCAGAUUAGCUCAGUUGCUACGCAUAGUGAACCCUGUUAGGAUGAUCUCCACCGUGUGGGCCCAACGGCCCACCGGGCCCUUAGAUCCGCGCCCUGAUCGGGGGCGCUCAACCCACUAUGGGUGACGGGCCCCUGUCACCUGCACUAUAUAUAAAGAGGUGGGAUCAUGGGUCGCAACACGAGGUCCCACCUACAUCCCCUACCGAUCUAGGUUAGGGUUAGUGCAGUGCUGAUGGGAAGCGCCGCCACCACUUCGCCCACGAUCUGCCAUCACCACCGCCGCCAUCCACCAUGGCCACCCCAUCGGGCUCACCGAUCCAAGGAAAAGGUAAAAACCACCGUGAAUCCUUAACCCUAACCGAUCCAGGGAUCUAUCAAUGGUAUCAGCCAGAGAUUGGUUUAGGAUUUUCGGUACAGAAAAGAAAAGGAAAUCCCCUCCUCCCCAAAGAACCCUAACAGGGCAAUGAAAAGCAAACAAAAGAACACAAAAGUACACCGGAGAAGGCCUUGGGCCGCCGGCAAAGUGCGCCGCCACUCCGGCCGCGCCUGUUCCUCUCGAUCCCCACACGCAUCGGCAAGCCGAGGUGCGGGAACGAAGAACCAACCCCACACGGGGCAAAGAGCACCACCACCAAGCCGUUUGAUGGCGGCGCGUUCACCCUCGAGGUGCUCGCGCACGCCGGCAAAGGGGUCAGCGGGGGCGCCGCAUCGGAAGGCCGCGACACCUCUCUGCUCUCUCUCGCGCGCAUACAGGAGGUUAGUGGAUGGGUGAAAUCAAGAAGAGGGAAAGAAAGAAUCGCGACGGCGGUGGCCGUCGCCGGCGACUGCGCGUGGCGCGGUGGCUCGACGACCCGUUCAGAGGCCGCCGUCGCGAGCAAGAGGGGGAGCAGAGGAGGCGCAGUGGUCGCUCUCUCUCUCCCUCUGCGAAAGAAGAAAGGAAAGGGAUAAGGGAAACGGCUCGCGCGGCGCGAUGGCUCCUCCGCCGUCAAAGGCGACCGGGGUUCCGCCGUCUGUGGCGAACAGAGAGACGAGGGGACAGAGUAGAAACGAAAGUGGCUAGGGUUUUCGGGUCGGGAGCUCUCUGUCUCACUUUUGUUUGACCGAAAAAAGAGCUAGGCCAUUCGAUCGGACUGAACGGUCUGGAUCGAAACCCUAAAGCAGCUCCAGGCCAGUGGGCCGAAAGAGAGAACGGACCAGGCUCCAGCAGCGCUGCCGCGGUCGGCCGUGGGCCGAGGAGCUCGGGCGGACGAGCAGAGCUUCCAGCAGGCCGUGGGCCGCGAGCGGCGCGCGCGCUGGCAGGCCGAGGGAUGGGCCGCGCAGUUAAAAGGGCCCAUCAGAAAGUUUGUCUGUUAUUUUUUAUUUUAUUUUAUAUUUGCUCAGAUUUAUUCUGUUCAAACAAAUCCAAUGAAAUGUCUGUUUAGAAAAUAGAAAAGUAAAAGAAAAUGCUUCUGUAAAGAAUAAAAGGUUCAUGAAUUUUUAUUCAUGUUUUCUGCUGCAAAUAAAAAUAAAAGUGAUCUUUUAAAAGUGAAUAGAAUUAAAGUAAAAGAUCAAAUUGUUGCUUCUCUAAUGCAUUUUUUAACCAACCGGUUAAAAUUGCUUAGAGAGUAAAAGAGUACAGAAUUGUUUCUGAAUAAAAUACUGUAAAGUUUCCGCUGCAAAGUAAAAGUUGAUCCUCCAGUUAAAUUGAAACCAACGGGAAAUUUUAAUUGGAAGAAUUGUUCUAAGCAAUGUUUUUCCCCUGUGGGUGAAAUAAGAUGCAGAUAGUUUCUCCUAUGAUAAAAGAAAGAUAUUUUUUAAGUUAAAAUAUGGUAUUGUUAUUUUCUGACCAACGUUGUUGAUAACAGUGCUAUAAUUCUAUGAGUCUUAUGUUCAAAGCUUAAAUAUCUGAUAAAUUUUGUAUCAAAGUGAUCAAUUUUCAGAGAAGAGAUAUGAAGGAAAUAUGCCCUAGAGGCAAUAAUAAAGUUAUUAUUUUAUUUCCUUAUAUCAUGAUAAAUGUUUAUUAUUCAUGCUAGAAUUGUAUUAAUCGGAAACAUAAUACAUGUGUGAAUACAUAGACAAACUAAAUGUCACUAAUAUGCCUCUACUUGACUAGCUCGUUGAUCAAAGAUGAUUAUAUUUCCUAACCAUAGACAUGAAUUGUCAUUUGAUUAACGGGAUCACAUCAUUAGGAGAAUGAUGUGAUUGACAUGACCCAUUCCUUAGCUUAGCACCCGAUCGUUUAGUAUGUUGCUAUUGCUUUCUUCAUGACUUAUACAUGUUCCUAUGACUAUGAGAUUAUGCAACUCCCGUUUGCCGGAGGAACACUUUGUUGCUACCAAACGUCACAAUGUAACUGGAUGAUUAUAAAGGAGCUCUACAGGUGUCUCCAAAUGUACAUGUUGGGUUGGCAUAUUUCGAGAUUAGGAUUUGUCACUCCGAUUGUCGGAGAGGUAUCUCUGGGCCCUCUCGGUAAUACACAUCACAUAAGCCUUGCAAGCAUUGCAACUAAUGAGUUAGUUGCGAGAUGAUGUAUUACGAAACGAGUAAAGAGACUUGCCGGUAACGAGAUUGAACUAGGUAUUGAGAUACCGACGAUCGAAUCUCGGGCAAGUAACAUACCGAUGACAAAGGGAACAAAGUAUGUUGUUAUGCGGGCUGACCGAUAAAGAUCUUCGUAGAAUAUGUGGGAGCCAAUAUGAGCAUCCAGGUUCCGCUAUUGGUUAUUGACCGGAGACAUGUCUCGGUCAUGUCUACAUUGUUCUCGAACCCGUAGGGUCCGCACGCUUAACGUACGAUGACAGUUUCAUUAUGAGUUUAUAUAUUUUGAUGUACCGAAGUUUGUUCGGAGUCCUGGAUGUGAUCACGGACAUGACAAGGAGUCUCGAAAUGGUCGAGACAUAAAGAUUGAUAUAUUGGAAGCCUAUGUUUGGACAUCGGAAGUGUUCCGGGUGAAAUCGGCAUUUUACCGGAGUACCGGGAGGUUACCGGAACCCCCCGGUAACCUAAUGGGCCUUAAUGGGCCUAGUGGAGGAAGCNNNNNNNNNNNNNNNNNNNNNNNNNNNNNNNNNNNNNNNNNNNNNNNNNNNNNNNNNNNNNNNNNNNNNNNNNNNNNNNNNNNNNNNNNNNNNNNNNNNNNNNNNNNNNNNNNNNNNNNNNNNNNNNNNNNNNNNNNNNNNNNNNNNNNNNNNNNNNNNNNNNNNNNNNNNNNNNNNNNNNNNNNNNNNNNNNNNNNNNNNNNNNNNNNNNNNNNNNNNNNNNNNNNNNNNNNNNNNNNNNNNNNNNNNNNNNNNNNNNNNNNNNNNNNNNNNNNNNNNNNNNNNNNNNNNNNNNNNNNNNNNNNNCCUUUCUUCCCUCUCCUCCUUCCUCCCAAGUCCUAAUCCAACUAGGGAAAGGGGGGGUCCUACUCCCGGUAGGAGUAGGACUCCUCCGGCGCGCCUCCUCCUAGGGCCGGCCGCACCCCCCAUCCCCCUUGCUCCUUUAUAUACGGGGGCAAGAGGGCACCUCUAGACACACAAGUUGAUCCUCGUGAUCGUUUUCUUAGCCGUGUGCGGUGCCCCCUUCCACCAUACUCCUCGAUAAUAUUGUAGCGGUGCUUAGGCGAAGCCCUGCGACGGUAGAACAUCAAGAUCAUCACCACGCCGUCGUGCUGACGGAACUCUUCCCCGACACUUUGCUGGAUCGGAGUCCGGGGAUCGUCAUCGAGCUGAACGUGUGCUAAAACUCGGAGGUGCCGUAGUUUCGGUGCUUGAUCGGUCGGGCCGUGAAGACGUACGACUACAUCAACCGCGUUGUCAUAACGCUUCCGCUGUCGGUCUACGAGGGUACGUAGACUACACUCUCCCCUCUCGUUGCUAUGCAUCACCAUGAUCUUGCGUGUGCGUAGGAAAUUUUUUGAAAUUACUACGUUCCCCAACAGUGGCAUCCGAGCCUAGGUUUUAUGUGUUGAUGUUAUAUGCACGAGUAGAAUACAAGUGAGUUGUGGGCGAUAUAAGUCAUACUGCUUACCAGCACGUCAUACUUUGGUUCGGCGGUAUUGUUGGAUAAAGUGGCCCGGACCGACAUUAAGCAUACGCUUACGUGAGACUGGUUCUACCGACGUGCUUUGCACACAGGUGGCUGGCGGGUAUCAGUUUCUCCAACUUUAGUUGAACCGAGUGUGGCUACGCCCGGUCCUUGUGAAGGUUAAAUCAGCACGAACUUGACAAACUAUCGUUGUGGUUUUGAUGCGUAGGUAAGAUUGGUUCUUGCUUAAGCCCGUAGCAGCCACGUAAAACUUUCAACAAACAAAGUAGAGGACGUCUAACUUGUUUUUGCAGGGCAUGUUGUGAUGUGAUAUGGUCAAGACGUGAUACUAAAUUUUAUUGUAUGAGAUGAUCAUGUUUUGUAACCAAGUUAUCGGCAACUGACAGGAGCCAUGUGGUUGUCGCUUUAUUGUAUGCAAUGCAAUUGCGCUGUAAUGCUUUACUUUAUCACUAAACGGUAGCGAUAGUCGUGGAAGCAUAAGAUUGGCGAGACGACAACGAUGCUAUGAUGGUGAUCAAAGUAUCGCGCCGGUGACGAUGGUGAUCAUGACGGUGCUUCAAAGAUGGAGAUCGCAAGCACAAGAUGAUGAUGGCCAUAUCAUAUCACUUAUAUUGAUUGCAUGUGAUGUUUAUCUUUUAUGCAUCUUAUCUUGCUUUGAUUGACGGUAGCAUUUUAAGAUAAUCUCUCACUAAUUAUCAAGAAGUGUUCUCCCUGAGUAUGCACCGUUGCAAAAGUUCUUCGUGCCGAGACACCACGUGAUGAUCGGGUGUGAUAGGCUCUACAUUCAAAUAUAACGGGUGCAAAAUAGUUGCACAUGCGGAAUACUCAGGUUAUACUUGACGAGCCAAGCAUAUACAGAUAUGGCCUCGGAACACGGAGACCGAAAGUUUGAGCGUGAAUCAUAUAGUAGAUAUGAUCAACAUAGUGAUGUUCACCAAUGAAACUACUCCAUCUCACGUGAUGAUCGGACAUGGUUUAGUUGAUUUGGAUCACGUGAUCACUUAGAGGAUUAGAGGGAUGUCUAUCUAAGUGGGAGUUCUUUAGUAAUAUGAUUAAUUGAACUUAAAUUUAUCAUGAACUUAGUACCUGAUAGUAUCUUGCUUGUAUAUGUUUGAUUGUAGAUAGAUGGCCCGUGUUGUUGUUCCGUUGAAUUUAAUUGCGUUCCUUGAGAAAGCAAAGUUGAAAGAUGAUGGUAGCAAUUACACGGACUGGGUCCGUAACUUGAGGAUUAUCCUCAUUGCUGCACAGAAGAAUUACGUCCUAGAAGCACCGCUGGGUGCCAGGCCUGCUGCUGGAGCAACACCAGAUGUUAUGAAUGUCUGGCAGAGCAAAGCUGAUGACUACUCGAUAGUUCAGUGUGCCAUGCUUUGCGGCUUAGAAUCGGGACUUCAACGACGUUUUGAACGUCAUGGAGCAUAUGAGAUGUUCCAGGAGUUGAAGUUAAUAUUUCAAGCAAAUGCCCGGAUUGAGAGAUAUAAAAUCUCCAAUAAGUUCUAUAGCUGCAAGAUGGAGGAGAACAGUUUUUUCAGUGAGCAUAUACUCAAAAUGUCUGGGUAUAAUAAUCACUUGAUUCAAUUGGGAGUUAAUCUUCCAGAUGAUUGCGUCAUUGACAGAAUUCUCCAAUCACUACCACCUAGCUACAAGAGCUUCAUGAUGAACUAUAAUAUGCAAGGGAUGAAUAAGACAAUUCCCGAGCUCUUCGCAAUGCUGAAAGCUGCGGAGGUAGAAAUCAAAAAGGAGCAUCAAGUGUUGAUGGUCAACAAGACCACUAGUUUCAAGAAAAAGGGUAAAGGGAAGAAGAAGGGGAACUUCAAAGGGAACAACAAGCAAGUUGCUGCUCAGGAGAAGAAACCCAAAUCUGGACCUAAGCCUGAAACUGAGUGCUUCUAUUGCAAGCAGACUGGUCACUGGAAGCGGAACUGCCCCAAGUAUUUGGCGGAUAAGAAGGAUGGCAAGGUGAACAAAGGUAUAUGUGAUAUACAUGUUAUUGAUGUGUACCUUACUAAUGCUCGCAGUAGCACCUGGGUAUUUGAUACUGGUUCUGUUGCUAAUAUUUGCAACUUGAAACAGGGACUACGGAUUAAGCGAAGAUUGGCUAAGGACGAGGUGACGAUGCGCGUGGGAAAUGGUUCCAAAGUCGAUGUGAUCGCGGUCGACACGGUACCUCUACAUCUACCUUCGGGAUUAGUAUUAGACCUAAAUAAUUGUUAUUUGGUGCCAGCGUUGAGCAUGAACAUUAUAUCUGGAUCUUGUUUGAUGCGAGACGGUUAUUCAUUUAAAUCAGAGAAUAAUGGUUGUUCUAUUUAUAUGAGUAAUAUCUUUUAUGGUCAUGAACCCUUGAAGAAUGGUCUAUUCUUAUUAAAUCUCGAUAGUAGUGACACACAUAUUCAUAAUGUUGAAACCAAAAGAUGCAGAGUUGAUAAUGAUAGUGCAACUUAUUUGUGGCACUACCGUUUAGGUCAUAUCGGUAUAAAGCGCAUGAAGAAACUCCAUACUAAUGGACUUUUGGAACCACUUGAUUAUGAAUCACUUGGUACUUGCGAACCGUGCCUUAUGGGCAAGAUGACCAAAACACCGUUCUCCGGUACUAUGGAGAGAGCAACAGAUUUGUUGGAAAUCAUACAUACAGAUGUAUGUGGUCCGAUGAAUGUUGAGGCUCGUGGCGGAUAUCGUUAUUUUCUCACCUUCACAGAUGACUUAAGCAGAUAUGGGUAUAUCUACUUAAUGAAACAUAAGUCUGAAACAUUUGAAAAGUUUAAAGAAUUUCAGAGUGAAGUUGAAAAUCAUUGUAACAAGAAAAUAAAAUUCCUACGAUCUGAUCGUGGAGGAGAAUAUUUGAGUUACGAGUUUGGUGUACAUUUGAAACAAUGCGGAAUAGUUUCGCAACUCACGCCACCCGGAACACCACAGCGUAAUGGUGUGUUCGAACGUUGUAAUCGUACCUUACUAGAUAUGGUGCGAUCUAUAAUGUAUCUUACUGAUUUACCGCUAUCGUUUUGAGGUUAUGCUUUAGAGACGGCCGCAUUCACGUUAAAUAGGGCACCAUCAAAAUCCGUUGAGACUACGCCUUAUGAACUAUGGUUUGGCAAGAAACCAAAGUUGUCGUUUCUGAAAGUUUGGGGCUGCGAUGCUUAUGUGAAAAAGCUUCAACCUGAUAAGCUCGAACCCAAAUCGGAGAAAUGUGUCUUCAUAGGAUAUCCAAAGGAAACUAUUGGAUACACCUUCUAUCACAGAUCCGAAGGUAAGACUUUUGUUGCUAAAUUCGGAAACUUUCUAGAGAAGGAGUUUCUAUCGAAAGAAGUGAGUGGGAGGAUAGUAGAACUUGAUGAGGUAACUGUACCUGCUCCCUUAUUGGAAAGUGGUACAUCACAUAAACCAGUUUCUGUGACACCUACACCAAUUAGUGAGGAAGCUAAUGAUAAUGAUCAUAAAACUUCAGAACAAGAUACUAUUGAACCUCGUAGAUCAACCAGAGUAAGAUCCACACCAGAGUGGUACGGUAAUCCUGUUCUGGAAGUCAUGCUACUAGAUCAUGAUGAACCUACAAACUAUGAAGAAGCGAUGAUGAGCCCAGAUUCCGCAAAAUGGCUUGAAGCCAUGAAAUCUGAGAUGGGAUCCAUGUAUGAGAACAAAGUGUGGACUUUGGUUGACUUGCCCAAUGAUCGGCAAGCAAUUGAGAAUAAAUGGAUGUUCAAGAAGAAGACUGACGCUGACGGUAAUGUUACUGUCUACAAAGCUCGACUUGUCGCAAAAGGUUUUCGACAAGUUCAAGGGAUUGACUACAAUGAGACCUUCUCACCCGUAGCGAUGCUUAAGUCUGUCCGAAUCAUGUUAGCAAUUGCCGCAUUUUAUGAUUAUGAAAUUUGGCAGAUGGAUGUCAAAACUGCAUUCCUGAAUGGAUUUCUGGAAGAAGAGUUGUAUAUGAUGCAGCCAAAAGGUUUUGUCGAUCCAAAGGGAGCUAACAAAGUGUGCAAGCUCCAGCGAUCCAUUUAUGGACUGGUGCAAGCCUCUCGGAGUUGGAAUAAACGCUUUGAUAGUAUGAUCAAAGCAUUUGGUUUUGUACAGACUUUUGGAGAAGCCUGUAUUUACAAGAAAGUGAGUGGGAGCUCUGUAGCAUUUCUGAUAUUAUAUGUAGAUGACAUAUUACUAAUCGGAAAUGAUAUAGAAUUUCUGGAUAGCAUAAAGGGAUACUUGAAUAAGAGUUUUUCAAUGGAAGACCUCGGUGAAGCUGCUUACAUAUUGGGCAUUAAGAUCUAUAGAGAUAGAUCAAGAUGCUUAAUUGGACUUUCACAAAGCACAUACCUUGACAAAGUUUUGAAGAAGUUCAAAAUGGAUCAAGCAAAGAAAGGAUUCUUGCCUGUGUUACAAGGUGUGAAAUUGAGUAAGACUCAAUGCCCGACCACUGCAGAAGAUAGAGAGAAAAUGAAAGAUGUUCCCUAUGCUUCAGCCAUAGGCUCUAUCAUGUAUGCAAUGCUGUGUACCAGACCUGAUGUGUGUCUUGCUAUAAGUCUAGCAGGGAGGUACCAAAGUAAUCCAGGAGUGGAUCACUGGACAGCGGUCAAGAACAUCCUGAAAUACCUGAAAAGGACUAAGGAUAUGUUGCUCGUAUAUGGAGGUGACAAAGAGCUCAUCGUAAAUGGUUACGUUGAUGCAAGCUUUGACACUGAUCCGGACGAUUCUAAAUCGCAAACCGGAUACAUGUUUACAUUAAACGGUGGAGCUGUCAGUUGGUGCAGUUCUAAACAAAGCGUUGUGGCGGGAUCUAUAUGUGAAGCGGAGUACAUAGCUACUUCGGAAGCAGCAAACAAAGGAGUCUGGAUGAAAGAGUUCAUAUCCGAUCUAGGUGUCAUACCUAGUGCAUCGGGUCCAAUGAAAAUCUUUUGUGACAAUACUGGUGCAAUUGACUUGGCAAAGGAAUCCAGAUUUCACAAGAGAACCAAGCACAUCAUGUAACGCCCCGAGACCGAUGUGCCAGGUGUCGUCCAGUUAUUCGUUGUUGUUGCCUUGUCUUUGCUUGCGUGUCAUGCAUUGCAUAUCAUGUCAUCAUGUGCAUUUCAUUUGCAUACGUGUUCGUCUCAUGCAUCCGAGCAUUUUCCCCAUUGUCAGUUUUGCAUUCCGGCGCUUCGUUCUCCUCCGGUGGUCAUUUCUACCUUUCUUUCGUGUGUGGGGGGUAAACAUUUCCGGAUUGGACCGAGACUUGCCAAGCGGCCUUGGUUUACUACCGGUAGACCGCCUGUCAAGUUUCGUACCAUUUGGACUUCGUUUGAUACUCCAACGGUUAACCGAGGAACCGAAAAGGCCUCGUGUGUGUUGCAGCCCAACACCCCUCCAAGUUGGCCCAAAACCCACCAAAACCCUUUACAUCAUCUAGAGCGUUCGAUCACGAUCGCGUGGCCGAAAACCGCACCUCAUUUGGACUCUCCUAGCUCCCUCUACCUAUAAAUAUGUGCACCCCGUUCAUUUUCGCGGACGAACCUAGCCUCUUCUCCACCGCGCCGCCGGACACGUCCGGGCGGAGCCGGACAUGUCCACCGCCGCACUGCCACGUUGCCCGACAAAUAGGAGUGCGCCACGUCAUCACCGCCGCCUCCCUUCUCCACUCGCGCGCCGCCAUGUGGCGCUGCCUCCGUCCUCCACCACGCGGCCCAGGGAAGCCCAUCGCGGGCCCGCCCGGGCCCGGAUUCCGCCGCCGCCCCGCGUCCGUUCUCCGCCGCGCGUUCGAGGUGCCCCGCCGCUGCCGCCAGGUGUUCCCCCGCACCGCCCUCACCGGCGUGGCCCGCCGCCACCGCACCCCACCGGCCCUGCCCCGACGGAUCCGCGCCGCCGCUUCGGUUCGUCACCGGCGCCGCCAUACUCGUCGCCGGGCCGGUCGCCUUCCGCCGCCGCCUCGCGCGCCGCGCUCCGGUCGCCGCUCCACCCCGCCGCUCACCGCCUUUGUCGCGCCUCCCGGCCGCCUCUCCUCGCUGCUGCGUGCUCCGGCAGCUCGCCGGUCUUCCUCGCCGGAGCCCGUCCCGGCCGGAUCUACUCCGGUGGAUGAGAUCCACCGGGAGUUGGACCAGACGCCGCGCGCCCGCGUCCCGGAUCUCGUCGUCCUGGAUCUCCUCGUCCGCCUCGAGAUUUCCAUGUUUCAUAUGCCUAUAUUCAUCAUGUCGUAACUCCGCAUCCGUAACUUCGAUUUGAGCAUAUAGCAUAUCAAAAUGUUCGUCUCAGAGAGUACAUCAUUUCAUCUCAUUGCAUCAUUUUCAUUUGAGUUCAUCUUGAUGCCCUAAAUUCUGUUGGAAGAGUGCUACUUGAGAUAAUUGUCAGAUCUGCUGCUCCAUUUAGAUAUUUGUCAUUUUUGCCAUGAUUGUUGUGUGCAUGAUAUGCCCAUGAGCUCUACAUGUGUUUUGUUAUAUGUUUUGCCAUCUAUCCAGAGGUGGAACCCAUGUAUUUUUGUGAUGUGUGUGAUGACUAGCACAAGCUUGCAAAGUGGUGCACUUGUUAAUGCUGAUUUCAGGGACUUAGCAUUUCCACUAAGUCCUUGGUCUGUUUAUCUCUUUAUGCCAUAUGUUCAUGUUGUUUCCUAGUGAUUCGUGCCUCUUUUGAGGAUGAUCAGUAAAGAUGUUUCGUUAAUCUUGUGGUGCUUUAUCCAUCCAUGUCUUUGUUUGAAAUUAUGGAGCACCCUAGCUUGAGUCAAUCGAGCUCUACUUUUGUCACUUCGUGAAUCUGGGCAGAUUGUCUACUUUAGCAAUUUUGCCGAGGUUGUUGUCGUUGAUCCGUGCAUGCUAUGCUAUUGUUCUUGCCAUGUCUAGCUUGAAUUUUAUGUAUUCUUGAUGGAUGUAUUCUUAGCUUGUCAUGACUUUCUCUGUAGUGAGUGCAUCGAGCUCGCAAACAUGCCUACUUGAUAUCUGUUUCAGCAUGCUUCAGUUUUCACUAAGUCUGAGAACUGAUUAUGUUUUUGCCAUGUUCACAUGCUUGCAAAUGUAUUUUCUUAUCCCUUUUGGCUCAAGGUCACUAAGGGACUUUUGUUAAGCUCUUUGAGUAGCUCCAUGCCAUGCUUUACUUUGCCAUGUUCAGGUCCUGUAGCAUAUAGUUUUCAUGCUCCGAAGUGUGCUACCUGAUCUGAAAUUCCAGACAAGUGUUAAUUUCACUAAGUCUGAAAUCUGUUUACCGUUUGCUCUUUUGCCAUGCUUGUUUGAACCUGUUAUUGGAUGAAUUGGCCGUAGCUCAGUGCUAGAUUUUUGUUAAGAAUCUUGCAUGGAUUCCUGCCAUGUAUUUUGUUGUCAUGUUUGGAUGCUGUAGCAUGUUCAUCUUGUUGCAUUUAGAUGGCUACUUGCUGUAAAUCGCAGAACGUGGUCAUAUUUGAAUCGCUUGCCAUUUCCAAACCGUAACUCCGAUUCCGGCGUUCUUUAUAUCGUUUUCAAGCGAUUUCAUCUCAUCUUUCCAGUGGCACACUUGGUUUUCCAAGUUGAGGCCAGGUUCAUUCGUUCCUUGUCAAAUCAUGCACAUGUAUCGCAUACCGCAUCCCGCAUAUCAUACCAUGUUCAUGUGUUGGUUGUUUACUAUGUUGUGUGCUUCUUUCCGGUGUUUGCUUCUUCGGGUUGGUUCCGGUAACGUCGCGUUUGUGAGGACCCGUUCGUCUACGUCCGUUUGUCUUCUUCAUGGACUCGUUCUUCUUCCUUGCGGGAUCUCAGGCAAGAUGAUCAUACCCUCGAAAUCGCUUCUAUCUUUGCUUGCUAGUUGCUCGCUCUUUUGCUAUGCCUAUGCUGUGAUACCUACCACUUGCUUUUCAUGCCACCCAUAUUGUUGAACCAAGCCUCUAACCCACCUUGUCCUACCAAACCGUUGAUUGGCUAUGUUACCGCUUUGCUCAGCCCCUCUUAUAGCGUUGUUAGUUGCAGGUGAAGAUUGAAGUUUGUUCCUUGUUGGAACAUGGAGGUGUUGUUCCUUGUUUGGAACAUGUUUACUUGUUGGGAUAUCACAAUAUAUCUUAUUUAAUUAAUGCAUCUAUAUACUCGGUAAAGGGUGGAAGGCUCGGCCUUAUGCCUGGUGUUUUGUUCCACUCUUGCCGCCCUAGUUUCCGUCAUAUCGGUGUUAUGUUCCCGGAUUUUGCGUUCCUUACGCGGUUGGGUUAUAAUGGGAACCCCUUGACAGUUCGCUUUGAAUAAAACUCCUCCAGCAAGGCCCAACCUUGGUGUUACCAUUCGCCACCUAGCCUUUUUCCCUUGGGAGUCGCGCAUCCCGAUGGUCAUCUUAUUUUAACCCCCCCGGGCCAGUGCUUGUCUAAGUGUUGGUCCAACCCAGAGCACCGUGCGGGGCCGUCCCUUGGCAACUUGGGUUACGUUGGCUCCCGUACGCUUAGCUUGUCGACGCAUCGGGUGGUCUUGCUGGACUUGUUUUACCAUUGUCGAGGAUGUCUUGUAGAACCGGGAUACCGAGUCUGAUCGGAAUGUCUCGGGAGGAGGUCUAUUCCUUCGUUGACCGUGAGAGCUUGUCAUGGGCUAAGUUGGGACACCCCUGCAGGGAUUUGAACUUUUGAAAGCCGUGCCCGCGGUUAUGGGCAGAUGGGAAUUUGUUAACGUACGGUUGUAGAAAACCUGAAGUUGACCUUAAUUAAAAUACAUCAACCGCGUGUGUAACCAUGAUGGUCUCUUCUCAGCGGGGUCCGGGAAGUGAACACGGGUGUUGGAGUUAUGCUUGACGUAGGUUGUUCUAGGAUCACUUCUUGAUCAUACUUUACCGACCGUGCUUUGCCUUCUCUUCUCGCUCUCAUUUGCGUAUGUUAGCCACCAUAUAGGCUAGUCGCUUGCUGCAGCUCCACCUCAUACCUUUACCUUACCCAUAAGCUUAAAUAGUCUUGAUCGGGAGGGUGUGAAAUUGCUGAGUCCCCGUGGCUCACAGAUACUUCCAAAACCAGCUUGCAGGUGCCGAUGAGCCCGUGCCAAUGACGCAACCAAGCUCAGGAGGAGCUCGAUGAAGAUCUUGCCCUUUGUGUUGUUUCGUUCCAGUUGAUCAGUAGUGGAGCCCAGUUGGGGUCGAUCGGGGACCUUGUCGCAUUUGGGGUUCUUCUUUUAUUUUGGUUCCGUAGUCGGACCUUGAUUGUAUUUGGAUGAUGUAAUGCUUUAUUCAUGUAAUUGUGUGAAGUGGCGAUUGUAAGCCAACUAUGUAUCUUUUUCCCCUAUUGUAUUACUUGGGUGUGUGAAGAUUACCUCACUUGCGACAUUGCUUUCAAUGCGGUUAUGCCUCUAAGUCGUGCUUCGACACGUGGGAGAUAUAGCCGCAUCGAGGGCGUUACACAUCAAGAGACGCUUCAAUUCCAUCCGGGAUCUAGUCCAGGUGGGAGACAUAGAGAUUUGCAAGAUACAUACGGAUCUGAAUGUAGCAGACCCGUUGACUAAGCCUCUUCCACGAGCAAAACAUGAUCAGCACCAAAGCUCCAUGGGUGUUAGAUACAUUACUGUGUAAUCUAGAUUAUUGACUCUAGUGCAAGUGGGAGACUGAAGGAAAUAUGCCCUAGAGGCAAUAAUAAAGUUAUUAUUUUAUUUCCUUAUAUCAUGAUAAAUGUUUAUUAUUCAUGCUAGAAUUGUAUUAUCCGGAAACAUAAUACUUGUGUGAAUACAUAGACAAACUAGACGUCACUAGUAUGCCUCUACUUGACUAGCUCAUUAAUCAAAGAUGGUUAUGUUUCCUAACCAUAGACAUGUGUUGUCAUUUGAUUAACGGGAUCACAUCAUUAGGAGAAUGAUGUGAUUGACAUGACCCAUUCCUUAGCUUAGCACCCGAUCGUUUAGUAUGUUGCUAUUGCUUUCUUCAUGACUUAUACAUGUUCCUAUGACUAUGAGAUUAUGCAACUCCCGUUUGCCGGAGGAACACUUUGUGUGCUACCAAACAUCACAACGUAACUGGGUGAUUAUAAAGGAGCUCUACAGGUGUCUCCAAAGGUACAUGUUGGGUUGGCGUAUUUCGAGAUUAGGAUUUGUCACUCCAAUUGUCGGAGAGGUAUCUCUGGGCCCUCUCGGUAAUACACAUCACAUAAGCCUUGCAAGCAUUGCAACUAAUGAGUUAGUUGCGAGAUGAUGUAUUACGAAAUGAGUAAAGAGACUUGCCGGUAACGAGAUUGAACUAGGUAUUGAGAUACCGACGGUCGAAUCUCGGGCAAGUAACAUACCGAUGACAAAGGGAACAAAGUAUGUUGUUAUGCGGUCUGACCGAUAAAGAUCUUCGUAGAAUAUGUGGGAGCCAAUAUGAGCAUCCAGGUUCCGCUAUUGGUUAUUGACCGGAGACAUGUCUCGGUCAUGUCUACAUUGUUCUCGAACCCGUAGGGUCCGCACGCUUAACGUUACGAUGACAGUUUCAUUAUGAGUUUAUAUAUUUUGAUGUACCGAAGUUUGUUCGGAGUCCCGGAUAUGAUCACGGACAUGACAAGGAGUCUCGAAAUGGUCGAGACAUAAAUAUUGAUAUAUUGGAAGCCUAUGUUUGGACAUCGGAAGUGUUCCGGGUGAAAUCGGCAUUUUACCGGAGUACCGGGAGGUUACCGGAACCCCCCGGUAACCUAAUGGGCCUUAAUGGGCCUGGUGGAGGAAGAGGAGAGGAGGCCUAGGGGCUGCCGCGCGCCCCUUCCCNNNNNNNNNNNNNNNNNNNNNNNNNNNNNNNNNNNNNNNNNNNNNNNNNNNNNNNNNNNNNNNNNNNNNNNNNNNNNNNNNNNNNNNNNNNNNNNNNNNNNNNNNNNNNNNNNNNNNNNNNNNNNNNNNNNNNNNNNNNNNNNNNNNNNNNNNNNNNNNNNNNNNNNNNNNNNNNNNNNNNNNNNNNNNNNNNNNNNNNNNNNNNNNNNNNNNNNNNNNNNNNNNNNNNNNNNNNNNNNNNNNNNNNNNNNNNNNNNCCCCUCCUCCUUCCUCCCAAGUCCUAAUCCAACUAGGGAAAGGGGGGAGUCCUACUCCCGGUAGGAGUAGGACUCCUCCGGCGCGCCUCCUCCUAGGGCCGGCACCCCCCCUUGCUCCUUUAUAUACAGGGGCAAGGGGGAACCUCUAGACACACAAGUUGAUCCUCGUGAUCAUUUUCUUAGCCGUGUGCGGUGCCCCCUUCCACCAUACUCCUCGAUAAUAUUGUAGCGGUGCUUAGGCGAAGCCCUACGACGGUAGAACAUCAAGAUCGUCACCACGCCGUCGUGCUGACGGAACUCUUCCCCGACACUUUGCUGGAUCGGAGUCCGGGGAUCGUCAUCGAGCUGAACGUGUACUAAAACUCGGAGGUGCCGUAGUUUCGGUGCUUAAUCGGUCGGGCCGUGAAGACGUACGACUACAUCAACCGCGUUGUCAUAACGCUUCUGCUAUCGGUCUACGAGGGUACAUAGACUACACUCUCCCCUCUUGUUGCUAUGCAUCACCAUGAUCUUGCGUGUGCGUAGGAAAUUUUUUGAAAUUACUACGUUCCCCAACAAGAUAAAGAUCAAAAAAUGCUCUUGAACUAGAGAAAUGUAUAUUUCUUGUUCCCGCUGCAAUAAAGUUGAUGAUGAUGAUUAUUUCUUAGGAAAGUUGUUUAAUAGAAAUACUAUCAUCACAUUGUUUAUGAGUUAUAUGCAUUAUUUCCAUUUCCGCCCAACGGUGAUAUGGAAUUAAUGUAGAAGGAUGAUAUUUUAUUCUAAUUCUACCCAACGAUGAUUUAGAAUAUAGAAGAAGGUUUUAAAAGUUUAAUGUGCAUAUAUUUUAACUAGACCAACAUGGGGUUAUUUUUUAUGCUCAAUAUUGUUGAUUAUUGGAUUUUUUUCUCAGACUAAAAGUUUUCCAUGCUUUCAUUCGUGAAAGCGAAUGGCUGGGUAUUCGUGACCCGAAAGAUGACCAAGAAAGGUCUUAACGUGAGGGAGUAUGUUCUCUCUAAAGAAUGGCUUCAAAAGAAAAGAAUUCUUGGAUAUUAAUCCAAGAGAAGAAAACAGAUAGAUCAUUGAGAGUCUUGGUUGACGAAUGUCUUUCAUGUAUUCUAUAUGAAGAAGAUUUAUCAGUCAACAUGAUUUGAGAUGAAACAAGCAACAUGCGUGUUUAAUUUGACCAACAUCGGAUCAAGCAUGUGUGUCAAAGAGCAUUAGGAUUUACUCCUAAAUUUGAUGAUGGAAUAAUGCAGUCAAAAGAGUCAAUUCUUGCAUUUAUGUCCCUUACAGGGAAUUACCCGCAUAGCGGGAGAAGAUGAUUAUGAUAAAACCCGCAUGGCGGGAAAAGUCUGGAAAAAUACCUGCGUAAUUAAUGGGGUAAAGUUGACAUAUUAUUAUGUCAAAAAUAUCGUAUGGCGGGAGAAAUUCUGGCAAAGGACUUAUCCUGUAUGACAGGAGAAAGAUAUGAUGACUCAUGUGCUUUUAAUGUGUCCCACUCUGGGAGAAAAGUAUGGAGUAGCUAUUAUGCUUUCCUAGUAUCGACCGUACACCUUAUGUGUAACGGUCAUUAAGCACUCAAUAAAUCCAAAAGAGAAUAAAAGUUGCAGACGAACCUAAAGAUAAGAAUGAUAUGCAAGUAUGACUUGCAAAAGUACUAAUGAUAAAGAACUAUUUUGAGUUUCCGGAAUGGAAUGAGUAAUAAGGAAAAAGUACUCCCAUACCAGUUAACAGAUAACUUCAUUACAUAUGAAGUAAUCAGAUAAAUGAAGUAGAUACUCAAAGUUUCCUCAAUUCACAAGAGUUGUGAAUGGUCUUUCGAAAUUGUGGCAGAAAAGUUCUUGCCACAUUUUGAGGGGGAGAAAGAAAUAUGUGAUAUCCAUUAAUGAAGAAUGUGAUCGUCUGGGGGAGUACGACGAUCAUAAUAAUACCCCUAAAGAAAAUAAAUAGAUGUAUUCCUGGAUCUUUUACAGUUCCGAAAGCAGACUAAGGAAUACUAAGAUGAUGUUUAAAGUGCCAUAAACAAGAAAGUUUUAACAGAAUAAACCCAAAUAAUAAAGUUUAAAGAUACACCAUUUUUAGUGAAGAUGGAGUAAUCUGGGGGAGCAUGUUGUAUGACCUAUACAACACCUGAUGUUAGCUCUAUAAAGGAAGAAUGAGUACACAUGGAUCUUGUGACACAGGUCCUUGUAAAACCUAUUGCCUCUUGGAAAUAAAAGACUAUAGAAUUAAUUUGCCUCUUAGCAAUGACAGAGCAACAACAGCCCCAUAUAAAAGAAGUGCCAGUACCUGAGACACAGAUGGUCUCAAGGAAUGAGAAAAUCAGAUACUUCUGAUUACUAUAAAGUCUAUGUUAGUGAAAUUCAAAUCGAGGUUGAUCCCACCUCAUUUAAAGCGCUCAAUCGAGCUUAGAAAAGUGUCCGUUUGUCUAAAUGAUAAGAGACUAUGUGAGAUGAAAUAAAAUUGGUGAAUCCCGACAAUGUUUGGGACUCAUAAGUAAUUUCCAAUGGAGCAUAAACAGUAGGCUGUAAAAGGUCUACAAGGUCAAUGUGACUCCAAAGGAAAUAUGUAAAGGUGUAAAGCACGACUUGAAUCGAAAGAUUUUGUGCAAAGAGAAUGAACAAAUUACAAUGAGUGUUAGUGGCACAUCAUGACCGACAUCAUGAUCUGAGUUACAUCAGAUGAAAGUAAAGAACACAAGGGAUACUGCUUCAAGAAGUUUUGUAUGGACUAGAGCAAGUCUCUAGACAGUGGCAUUUAAAGUUAAAAGAAUCAGAUGUUAUUUUGGGUUAAAGAAAAUGGGAGGACAAUUAUAUUCAUGCAAAGUUAUAGAAUGGGAAAUUCAUUUCCCAAUCUUGUGCAUGUGGAUGACGUCUUACUUGCUAGUGUGAUGUCAAUCUACUGCAGGAGGAGAAAAGAAGUUCUUGACCUCAAAGUUCAAAAUUGCAUUUCUCGGUAGAGUGUCUCUCGUUAUAAAUAUUGAGAUUCACCAAGAAAAGAAUAAAAUGGGGUGUUAGGAAUGUCGCAUGGACAUGCUAACAAAGGUCUCUAAAGUAUGCAUGCGAGAAAACCUACGUCUGUUCUUAUAGUCAAGGGUAAUGGAACUGGAAACUAUGGUGUUCCAAAAGUUGAUGAGAAAAGAUUGAAAACAGAUAUGGUACCAUACGCUUCAGCUGUUGGAAGCUCAAUAUAUUACCCUGACACAGUCCACGUAUCCGGAUUGUUUUGGCAAUGUCCAGUCCAUAUAUAGAUCACUGGAAUGGAGUCAAAGAUAUCGGCCUCAUGCUGAAAGAAAUAAGUGUUCUCAAAAGAUUGUGAGUACAUAGACAAGACUUGUGAAAUGUAUAGCGAAAUCCACAAUUGUCGCUAACUUUCAUACUUGGAGGUUUUUGUGUGGAAAAGCUCCAAAGAAUGAAACAAUUAUCAUCAAUGUGAUGCAAAGAUAUUUUAUAGCUUGAUAUGAGGCUGAGGGACAGGCAAAAUGGUUAAGGAGACCUGUACCCGGAGUUAAUAAUGGUUGACAACAGCGAUAACCAUUUUAAGUUUUUCACUCAUAUGACAACGAGUCAAGUGUUGAUGCCAAACACACUGACACAGAGUUAUGCAUUGUAAAGGAGAAAGUCUAGAAUUAUGUAGAAAUGCUUGAAGCAUAAAAGCAAUAGAUAAGUGUUUGCAUAUCUGCUUAUUAAAGGCUUACUGCCCAAUGUGUUCGGAGAACACAUAGUCGACAUGGGUUUUAUGGUAUAGUCUAAGAUUUCCGGACAAUAAAGGGCCCAAGGUUAAAGAAUUUGUUUCAAAACAGAGAGGUGCGUUGUGGCUGUCUGAUUCUAUCGGCAAUUGAGCUGUGACGAUGAAACAUGUUCUAUGUAUUGAUCUGUUAUGAAACGAGUAAAAUAAAAGUAUAAGGUCAAAAGUAAAAGUUGAGAUCAAGGGGGAGAAUGUUAGGAUGAUCUCGACCGUGUGGGCCCAAUGGCCCACCGGGCCCUUAGAUCCGUGCCCUGAUCGGGGGCGCUCAACCCACUAUGGGUGACGGGCCCCUGUCACCUGCACUAUAUAUAAAGAGGUGGGGACCACGGGUCGCAACACGAGGUUCGUCACGAUGCCGUACACCCCACCUACAUCCCCUACUGAUCUAGGGUUAGUGCAGUGCUGAUGGGAAGCACCGCCACCACUUCGCCCAUGAUCUGCCAUCACCACCGCCGCCAUCCACCAUGGCCACCCCAUCGGGCUCACCGAUCCAAGGAAAAGGUAAAGACCACCGUGAAUCCUUAACCCUAACCGAUCCAGAGAUCUAUCAAACCCCACAUCAUCUGUACUUCUUGAACCUGGUUUUAGUAUUAUACCCAUACAUGAAUACUAUAAUCAAAGGUUCAUUGUGAAUAAAGCAAGGUUUAUUACAUGAACUUUCUCCUAUAUCCAAGGAAAGAGUGCUUAUAGUUAUUUAAUACAAGUUCAAUUUAGUUGAGAAUCAGUUUAUUGCACCUUGCCCCUUGUAUUUGGUACAUGUGUAGAUUACAUUAUUAACCAUGCUUUGCUGACCGUAUUCUGAUAUUUCUAUCUAGGAAGCAUAAACUUGGAGGAUUUUAUCCACUCGACUUUCAAGGUAGUAUAGAAUUUGAAGAAAAACAAGAUGAAGAACGAGCUCGACUAUUCCAAGCACAAGGAUAUUGGCCACUUGACUAUCAAGCUAAUACACGAUAUGCAGACAAACAAGCUCAAAAACAAACACAAUCAGUUGAAGCGCGAGGGCAACAUACUUAUGCUUCUAGAAAGGAAGAAGCUGCUGCAAAUGCGAAACGAUGGAUGAGCGAGGAGGCGAUGGUGGCUUUCAGAAGAUACAUUGAGAGCAAAGAUGAACUUAAGGUUCUCCAUUUCUGCUCUAAAUCAUUUUUAUUGUUGGAACUGUGGAGAAGUAUGACUAACACGUGUUUCAUCUUAGGGACUUGAUUAUGAAUUUGACGAGCUUCUCCAUCAAUGUUUCCAUGUGGAGCAUUAUUUGAAGACAUUUCAUCACUUCAACUUUACUGUCAAGACAAAGAGCCUGGCUCAGCUGAUUGGACAUCGGCUAUGUACUUCGCUCAGGUCAAAUCGAUAUGCAUGAUAAAACGCUAUGUCUGUUAUCCUUUGGAGCAAGAUCAAUAUGGUAUGGAAAAUUUUCACCUUUUGACUUGUAAUGGACCUGAAAAGAUUCUAACAUUGUGAUUUACUUUGGCAGGUGAAUGUUAUGCAUGUGAGAACCAAGGGAUGGGUGUCUUGAGGCACCCAUUAGAAGGGGUGUACGAUAUGGGCAGGGAAGAUACACAAUUCCCUUUUAUGAGGACAGUGACUGAUGAAUUCGAUCCAACAACGGGAGGGGGUGAAUCAUCUGAUGAGGAUAAGAGUUGAUGAUGGCCUUGUCCUUUAUUCUAGUACUGUGAGUUAGCUGUAGAUCUUUUAUGCUCUCUAUUUUGCGGGAAAGCUCAUGUAUGCUCUUGAACUAUUGAUUCAAGUCAAAUUGAUAGUUGAUUUGAGAAUGCCAAUGCAUAACAUAUUCCUAGCUCGAGCAGCAUCUGAAAAAUGUCGCGUAGCAGCGCAGCAAUGGUUUGUCACACUGGUAUUAUGCGCUGUCGGUUCUAGUGUCACUCUCGUAUUUGCUUUGAUGUGACUGGUUUACUCUGCUUUAAAUUCUUGCUGUCAUGAUUGGUGAACUGCAAGUUUUUAUUUACCUGCAUGGUGUUCAUGGUAGAUAGGACAAAUUUGCAUGCUCAUACAUGUUGUAUGACCAUCAUGUUCCCUUGCUUAGGUACUAGUACCAAUGUAGCAUGCUUCCAAAUGUACUAGGACCAUUGUGUUUCCUCCUUUGUGCUCCAUACUGAUGUUUCCAUUCAACAUAAUAUGCCGACCACACAGAAAAGGUGUAUGAUUUUGUGUACUUCCAUGCAAUGAAAUCAUCGGUCAUAUUCGAGCUCAAAGGGAUACUCAAAAUUCUAUCAGCAUCCAUACUAAGGAAAUUGUCUCUAAUCAAAAGCUCAUCACUGCAUCACAUUGCAGACCAACAACAAAAAGAAAUCGGAAAGAAAAACAGCUGACAAAACUAGCGACCGAUCUUAGUUUUUUUUCUUCAAAGUCCAUGACCGGACCACACACCCCCUCCUUCAUUUGGGCUUGACCCAUCUUAGUUUUUUUUCCUUCUUCGGCCGCAGCGAGCCUGUUUCGUUUUUUUCUCAGGAGUGAUUGUUGCUUGUUUUGUGAAGCUUCUGGUUGGUUUUUUUUCAUAUUUUUUUGUUUUCUAGACAGUUUUUUUUUGUUUUUUCCUUUUCUAAAUGCGCAUACUUUUUUCAUGUUUGAGAACUUUCGUAAAAUUCGUGAACCUAUUUUUUCAAAACAUGUGAAGUUUAUUCAAAUUUAUGAUUAUUUUCUGAAUCAAAAAACUUUUUUCAUGCAUGAAUAUAUUCAAACCCACAAAGUUUUUCUAAAUUUAAGUUUUUCUUUCAAAAUCCAAUUUUUCCAAAUUCAUGAAUUUUCUUUUCAAAAUCGAAGAACAUUUUCCAAAUCCAUGAUUUUUUUUCAUAUCCAUGCAUAUUUUUUUCAAAAUCAAUGAGUUUUUAGAAAUCCGCAAUUGAUUUUCAAAAUAUUUUUUUCAAAGUGAAUGCACUUUUUUGAAAUCCAUUUUUUAAAAUUUGGGGACUUUUUUUCAAAUUCGUGAAAUAUUUUUCAAAAUUGUGAACUUUUUCAAUUUCUUGAACUUCCGAAUUUGUGAAUUUUUGCAGAUCCUUCUAAUUUUUUUUGAACUCAUGAAUUUUUUUCAAAUUCAUGAUUUUUCUGAAUCCUUUUUUUAAAUAGUAUUUUUCUACAAAAGCCACCGGUCAACAGUGGACCAGUCAUAGCGACCAGCGAACCAGAAAAACCGGCGCGUCCCCGUGCUAGCGCUGACCUCUUGUUGGGCCGGCCCAUGAUGGGCGCUGGGGAGGAGUUCUCUGUUUCCUCCUCUGUUUCGGGAGCAACUAGUUAACGAGCACUCUUUCGGAAGACUCGUAACGAUCAGCGCCAUUUGACGCGCUCUCAGCCAUUCGCCACGUGUCGCGCUUUAGACGUUCCCUUCGGAUUUUGUGUUUUUUAAUUUUUCUGCACGUGUUUUCGGCUUUUUAAACGGGUUUUUUCCUAGGGUUUUUCGAUGUUUUUGUUUUCUCCCGGUCUUCCUUAGCUUUUCGAUAAAAAAAUCGAAAAAAAAAUUUUGCACGAAAAAAACAUGUUUUCCUUUUUUUCUUCCACGAAAGUCACAGUUUUUUUUCGCAAAGAGGCACGGUUGCCCUUUAGUGAGAGUCACGGUCGUGCCUUUCGGAAACGAAAAAAAAAUGUGUUUUCUGUUUUUUUUCUUUCGCGAGAGUCAUGGUUUUGCUUCCGCGAGAGGCAUGGUUGUACUUUCGCGGGAGUCACGGCCGUGCCUCUCGGAAAGGAAAAAACAAAACACGUUUUCUGUUUUCUUUUUCUUUUGCGAGAGUCAUGGUUUUGCUUCCGCGAGAGGCACGGUUGUGCUUUCGUGAGAGUCACGGCCGUGCCUCUUAGAAAGGGAAAAAAUAAGCGUUUUCUGUAUUUUUUUCUUCCACGAGAGUCACGAUUUUGCUUCCACAAAGAGGCACGGGUGUGAAUUCACGAAAGGCACGGGUGUGUCUCUUUCGGAAAGGGAAAAACCGUGCUCCCGGUUCGGUUUUUUCGCCCGGUUUUUUUCAUGAAAAAAAAUUCAUCAAAACCUAUCAACAUGGGAUCUAGUUUUAAAGAUCUUGACGCGAGGAAUCCAAUGAUGAAAACAGUUCAAAAUUUAGACGCACGGUUUAAAAGAUAAAACGUUUUGAAUAAACAAAUCUACGAAAAAAGUGAAAACUCCCAGGUUGUGACAAGUGGCGCGCUGCAUGCACGCCACUUGUCGCAACCUGGAAAAAGAGAAGUGUUUUUUGCAAGCAAAGAGUACUCAAUUAGUGAUUUCGGUCUGUUUCGGUCUUCCGGGCAUUAAAGCGUGGGAUUGGAGGCCUCCUGUUCCCUAUAGAAAUCAAAACAAAAAGUGUUCAUCGCCUAAAUUGAGGGAGAGACCCAAACUUGUUUUCUAGGUUGUACUCCGCCCUCCUCGCGAUGGCCAGCGACGGAUCCUCUUGGAGUGAAACUGGGACUCGGUGAGAUUUCCUCCCCUUCACCUCCCUGCCCGUUUAUUUUCUUCUAUCUAUACUACUGUAGUUUGUGAACUGGCUCAAUCAACAGUGAGAUAGUACGCCCAAGCCUCAAGUUUAAUUUCGCUACAAUCCCAGCCCAGUCUCAGGGACGCGCUCUUUGGGUGUCUCUCUCUCUCUUUUGUGUUGAAACCUAUUGUUGGCGGUGAGGCAGUCUGUUACUAGGUGUUUAUUUUGAUACUUUGGUUGUAGUUUAUCCAGGAUCCGGUUGUCAACCACAACCAGUUGGCUGUGGCCUGCCGCCCAGGUGUGUGCCUGGGUUGUUUCUUCUGAAUCACAACCUCCACCUAAACUGAAUCAUGGAUUAUCCGCUGACUAAUCACAGGACAUAGAAAUAAUCACUGAUUCCUCGUACAUUGAAGAUUGUUAUUUGAUAACUGUUUUUUUUUCAUAAGGACUUCCAAGCCUCCAAUUUAGUCACAAUAGAAAUUGACUAAAGCACGGAUGGUGAUGCAUGCUGAAACAGUCGAUUCAUAAUCUCAUAUGAUGGAUACUGAUUUUCAGAAAACACUGUGUUGAUAUGUUUCUUUACGCCAACACAAUACCUUUUAUUGAAGCUAUGCGAUCUGUCUUUCGUAGGUCAUAAUGCAGAUUAGCUCAGUUGCUAUGCAUAGUGAACCCCACAUCAUCUGUACUUCUAGAACCUGGUUUUAGUAUUAUACCCAUACACGAAUACUAUAAUCAGAGGUUCAUUUGUGAAUAAAGCAAGGUGUAUUACAUGAACUUUUUCCUGUAUCCAAGUAAAGAGUGCUUAUAGUUUAUUACUGCAAGUUCAAUUUAGUUGCGAAUCAGUGUAUUGCAUCCUGCCCCUUGUAUUUGGUACAUGUGUAGAUUACAUUAUUAACCAUGUUUUGCUGACCGCAUUCUGAUAUUUUUAUAUCUAGGAAGCAUAAACUUGGAAGAUUGUAUCCACUCGAUUUUCAAGGUAGUAUAGAAUUUGCAAGAAAACAAGAUCAAGAACGAGCUCAACUAUUCCAAGCAUGAGGAUAUUGGCCACUUGACUAUCAAGCUAAUACACGAUAUGCAGAUAAACAAGCUGAAAAACAAACACAAACAGUUGAAGCGCGAGGGCAACAUACUUAUGCUUCUAAAAAGGAAGAAGCUGCUGCAAAUGCGAAACGAUGGCUGAGCGAGGAGGCGAUGGUGGCUUUCAGAAGAUACAUUGAGAGCAAAGGUGAACUUAAGGUUCUCCAUUUCUGCUCUAAAUCAUUUUUAUUGUUGGCACUGUGGAGAAGUAUGACUAACACUUGUUUCAUCUUAGGGACUUGAUUAUGAAUUUGACGAGCUUGUCCAUCAAUGUUUCCAUGUGGAGCAUUAUUUGAAGACGUUUUAUCACUUCAACUUUACUGUCAAGACAAAGAAGCCUGGCUCAGCUGAUUGGACAUCGGCUAUGUACUUCGCUCAGGUCAAAUCGAUAUGCAUGAUAAAACGCUAUGUCUGUUAUCCUUUGGAGCAAGAUCAAUAUGGUAUGCAAAAUUUUCACCUUAUGACUUGUAGUGGACCUAAAAAGAUUCUAACUUUGUGAUUUACUUUGGCAGGUGAAUGUUAUGCAUGUGAGAACCAAGGAAUGGGUGAAUUGAGGCACCCAUUAGAAGGGAUAUACGAUAUGGGCAGGGAAGAUAUACAAUUUCCCUUCUAUUAUCAGGACAGUGACUCUGAUGAAUUCGAUGCAACAACGGGAGGGAGUGAAUCCUCUGAUGAGGAUAUGAGCUGAUGGCCUUGUCCUUUAUUCUACAGUAUAAGUUAAAUUUGGCUCUUGUAUGCUCUUGAUCCACUGAAUCAAGUCAAAUUGCUAGUUGAUAUGAGAAUGCCAAUGUAAAAUGUACUAGUAGAUAGUACUCCAUCUGAAAAAAUGUCGAGUAGCAGCGCAGCAAUGGUUUGUCAGAGUUUACCCCUAGCUCCAGCAGCAGCAUCCAUGGCUGGCUGGGAUCUAUUUUUGGGGGAGUUUUAUUUAGAGAGGCUGGGUGGGGCAUGGGAGGUGCUAUUAUGUGCUGCCGGUUCAAAUGUCACACUGCUAUUUGCUUUGAUUCUACUUACUGGUUUACUCUGCUUAAUUUCCUGCUUUCACAGUUGGUUAAUUGCAGGUUUUUAUUUACUAGUAGUUCUAAAUUUGUUCUGUUUUGACAUUCCGCUCCUGCAGUGACAUAUGGCAGGAGCAAUUGCUGUCCCAUUCUCAUCGCUGGGGCACUUCCAUCCACGUUCACCACUUGAGGUCCUGGUUGUGGUGGGUAUACUCAAGCUGGUAAUGGAUGAGUAUACCGCGCUUGUCAUCUUGUACACCCGACCAUCUUCAAAAUUAUGACGGAGGGGGCUUGCAGCUCCAUCGGCCAGAGAAUAUCAUUCACCUGCGCCACAUCCCACUGGCCCGUCCCAGGGUCGAUCAACUCCGCCGCCUUACAUAUCCCCUUCGCGAUGCUCCUCUAUGCAUGCGGUUCGAUGCUCCAAGCUGAAUUGGGCCCUGUUUGUUUGGGCUUCAGACAAAAUCAGCUACAGUUCGCUGUGCGACAAAAGCUAAUUCAAGGCGAAGUACAUAGAUUUUGACAUAAUAAUCGCCGAUAUGAUGAUUUUGGCCAAAAAGGUCAUUCCAUAUUUGGAGGCUGUGAGGCGUUGGGCCGGAUGCCACUUUCACCUUCCUCCUCGUCCUUUAUUCUAUGCUCAUCUCCUCUUGAUCUAUUGAUUUUGAAGUCAGAAUUCUAGUUGAUUUGACAAUGACAAUGUAGGUUCCAAAGUGUCGCAAAGCUAAUCUUCUCCAGAUCCAAGCAGCCAUAUUAUCACCAAAGGCGCCAAACCUUUGCAACCUAACAUAAAAAUCAAGUACAGUCUGCACUCGGAUACAAGUGCUAGUUGAUAUGAGAAUGGGACAGAUCAACUAGCAGCUAUGUCUGUCAUUCUCAAAUUGCUAGUUGAUAUGAGAAUGGGACCUCAAGUGGUGACAAACGUGGAUGGAAGUGCCAAAGGCGCCAAACAUGUGCAACAUACUUCCUCCGAUUCCUAAAUAGUACUCCCUUCAUCCGGAAAUACUUGUCAUCAAAAUGAAUAAAAUGGAAUGUAUCUAGAUGUAUUUUAGUUCUAAAGACAUCUUUUUUUGUCCAUUUUGAUGACAAGUAUUUUCAGACGGAGGGAGUACAAGUCUUUGGAGAGAUUUCACUAAUCUAUACUCUAAAAUGUAUCUAUAUACAUCCGUAUAUGGUCUAUAGAGUAAUCUCUACAAAGACUUAAUACUCCCUCCGUUCUAAAAUUCUUGUCUUAGAUUUGUCUAGAUACCCGUAUCUAGACAAAAUUAUUGUCUUAGAUUUGUCUAGAUACCAAUUUGUCUAGACACCCGUAUCUAGACAAAUCUAAGACAAGAAUUUUGGGACGGAGGGAGUACAACUCAAGCACAGUCUGCACUCGGAUACAAAACGCCAGCCACACAAUUGCAAUCUUAUUGGAACAAAAGGAAGCAGAUGAACGAUCGUAUACUACGUUGUUUAAGGUUAUUUCUGUCCAAGAGAAAUGUUCCAAGGUUGUUCCCUGAGCGGCUGAGCACAACCGUUUCUUCCAAUGGAAAAUCUGAACCUCCGUAACUUAUCUUACAUCGAAACAAAACACUGCUACAAAGCCAUUCUCUGCAUAACUGCGAACCAAUAUUAAAUUCAGAAAGAGCUAUGCAUCACACACAAGCAGAUGGCUGGUGCAAGAAAACAACACACUAAAUUGAGAGGUAUUAUCAGUAUGCCCAAAAUCCAGCCAUGUUGGUAACAUAAACAGACAAAACAGUCAAGGCAAUACAACACACAGCAAAGCUGCAUCUCCCUCCAUCUUGGUACAAGACCUAUAUGAGCUGCAUCAAACAAGCACGCGCCACCACUCCACUUCCAUGGGCUACGGGAUACAAUCCACCGAGAGCCAGAAGCUCGUUCGCAACCUUUAUAGCCGGUAUGCAAAGUAUACGAG